GCCAAAUAAAACCAGAGUUAUGAUAAAUUAUGUCCGCGAUACUUUUUUUCUGCUUAUUUUUAUCACGUUCGGCGCUCGAUCGCGCUGUAUGAGACAGGAAAACAUAGCAUGCAGACAUUAGCGACAGGUCUUACAGGCGGAAAAGGCUUGCCAAAAGAAAAAAAAAACACACCACAACAUCUCUCCUAUUGGUGGAAAACUUCACCACAACAACCAAUCCAAAAUUAUAUGGUGACUGAUUGACAAGGGGCGGGCGCUUACGUUCUUCCUGCAACAUGAGAAGGGAGGGAGGGACUCUCAGCAGGGAUGCAGUCUGGGACACGUAGUUGCAAACCUAGCGACUUUGUUGUUAGAUUCAAUGACUUUUCAGACCCCCUAACGACUUUUUUUUAGAAAGAAAGGGACUUUUAUUGACUUCUUCUGGAGUUUAGAGACUCUGACAUGAAGCAGGCUUUCCUUACUGAGGAGUUAGCAACGCUGCUAAGGGUGCAGAGCCACACAUGCGCUCAGAGCUCUGCAUGGGAGACUGAAGCUGACAGAGCUGCAGCAGUUAGCAGGUUUCACCCUCAGAGACCACCAGGGGUUCAUGUUGAGGCAUUUUAAUUUUUUUUUUUUUUGUGCCAUAGACACUGUCAGCACAAUCUGCAGUUACACUAACAAAAAUGCUGCAAAAAACAAAGAAUUAUGGAAAAAUUACACAUGGACUGACAUAGAGGAGGAUCUACACAAGUUUUUUACAUCAUGUUUUACAUCAUGCAUCAUUUACAUCAUGUUUUUUUGUAGUGGCAUAAAUAAAAAGUGACAUUUGUGAGACUAUACAGUGUUUUGUAAAUAAUUUUACAAAGAACGCCUGGGCCAUUGCCUGCAUUUUGAUGUAAAUAGAGGUAAAUCACUAUGUUCUUUGUUAAAAAUUUGCAUAUGUCUUGAAGUUUACAAUUUUUAUUUGAAGUUUAAGUUUUAAAAACAGUUCAUCACACAUAUUUGUGGUUUUCACAGUAAAAAUGUUACUUUUUUCCACUCGGAUUUUAUGUUUUGUGUGUGAAUUUGGGUCCAUUGUGUAAAUUCAGUAUGUCAACAUGAUAAAAUAACUGUAAAUUCGCACAGGUGAGGUUGUGCUGAAAAAAAUGAUACCAGGCAAGGCACGUGAUUGUCAAAUUUUGUGUCAAUAUGACAAAGCGUAUAGGCGUGAAUCUCAACAAUAUGUAUUUUCACCUUAGGGGACAAGAAAAAAUGGACUUUUUUCUCCUGCCAUGGGGGGCGCUCUUUUGGGGAGUAAAAAUUCCUUCACAAAUGUGUUGAUGGCUGGACAUUGCAUCAUCCUAGAAAACUUGGAGGCCAGUGAGGACAAAAAUAAAAAGUUAUAAGACUUUUAAAUAUGUGGAUUUUAGGGUUAUCUUUGGCGCCCCCUAGAACCUAAACCGUGGGGUGCAGCGUCAUGAUUUGAAUAACUUUUAAUGGCCAUGGGGUGUAGAUUGGCCUGAGCAAAUGUGGUGCCGGUGGAACGAAAGCCUUCGGAGGAGUUAGCGAAAUUCCAAUGUGUGCGGAUCGGCAAAAAAAGCAGAAUAACCCUUUAACCGUACAUUUGACAGAUACGCGCGCAUUGACUUUUUCGUAGAUCUUAUUGAGAUACAUGUGUGUGUCAAUUUUUGUGUCAUUUUGCCAAAGCGUACAGGUGUUACACUCAACAAUGUGUAUUUUCACCUUAGGGGACAAGAAAAAAUUGACUUUUUUCUCCUGCCAUGGGGGGGGGCGCUCUUUUGGGGAGUAAAAAUUCCUUCACAAAUGUGUUGAUGGCUGGACAUUGCAUCAUCCUAGAAAACUUGGAGGCCAGUGAGGACAAAAAUAAAAAGUUAUAAGACUUUUAAAUAUGUGGAUUUUAGGGUUAUCUUUGGCGCCCCCUAGAACCUAAACCGUGGGAUGCAGCGUCAUGAUUUGAAUAACUUUUAAUGGCCAUGGGGUGUAGAUUGGCCUGAGCAAAUGUGGUGCCGGUGGAACGAAAGCCUUCGGAGGAGUUAGCGAAAUUCCAAUGUGUGCGGAUCGGCAAAAAAUGCAGAAUAACCCUUUAACCGUACAUUUGACAGAUACGCUCGCAUUGACUUUUUCGUAGAUCUUAUAGAGACACAUGUGUGUGUCAAUUUUUGUGUCAUUUUGCCAAAGCGUACAGGUGUUACACUCAACAAUGUGUAUUUUCACCUUAGGGGACAAGAAAAAAUGGACUUUUUUCUCCUGCCAUGGGGGGGGGCGCUCUUUUGGGGAGUAAAAAUUCCUUCACAAAUGUGUUGAUGGCUGGACAUUGCAUCAUCCUAGAAAACUUGGAGGCCAGUGAGGACAAAAAUAAAAAGUUAUAAGACUUUUAAAUAUGUGGAUUUUAGGGUUAUCUUUGGCGCCCCCUAGAACCUAAACCGUGGGAUGCAGCGUCAUGAUUUGAAUAACUUUUAAUGGCCAUGGGGUGUAGAUUGGCCUGAGCAAAUGUGGUGCCGGUGGAACGAAAGCCUUCGGAGGAGUUAGCGAAAUUCCAAUGUGUGCGGAUCGGCAAAAAAUGCAGAAUAACCCUUUAACCGUACAUUUGACAGAUACGCUCGCAUUGACUUUUUCGUAGAUCUUAUAGAGACACAUGUGUGUGUCAAUUUUUGUGUCAUUUUGCCAAAGCGUACAGGUGUUACACUCAACAAUGUGUAUUUUCACCUUAGGGGACUAGAAAAAAUUGACUUUUUUCUCCUGCCAUGGGGGGGCGCUCUUUUGGGGAGUAAAAAUUCCUUCACAAAUGUGUUGAUGGCUGGACAUUGCAUCAUCCUAGAAAACUUGGAGGCCAGUGAGGGCAAAAAUAAAAAGUUAUAAGACUUUUAAAUAUGUGGAUUUUAGGGUUAUUUUUGGCGCCCCCUAGAACCUAAACCGUGGGGUGCAGCGUCAUGAUUUGAAUAACUUUUAAUGGCCAUGGGGUGUAGAUUGGCCUGAGCAAAUGUGGUGCCGGUGGAACGAAAGCCUUCGGAGGAGUUAGCGAAAUUCCAAUGUGUGCGGAUCGGCAAAAAAUGCGAAAUAACCCUUUAACCGUACAUUUGACAGAUACGCCCGCACUGACUUUUUUGUAGAUCUUACUGAGAUACAUGUGUGUGUCAAUUUUUGUGUCAUUUUGACAAAGCGUACAGGCGUGACAGUGAAUAGUGUGAAUUUUCACCUUAGGGGGCGCUAUGGAGCCAUUUUGCAUUUUCUUGUUUGGGCGACUUCGGAAUAUCAAAUUUUUCACCAGGCCCGGUCGUCCUGCCAAAUUUCAUGAGUUUUCGCCAGUGGGAAGUGGGCCAUUUUCCAGUUCAAAGGGGAGGAAAAAUAAUAACUAGGGCCCCGUUGGGGCACUGGCGGGCCCGAGCCGUGUCACGCCACCCCCAGCGCGACCGCCUCCCCCACCCGAUCGCGUCACACUCAAGGUCCAAAGAUGGUGUGCGCACUUGUUUGUGGUCAUUUACCAUUAUAAUGAACGGGAGGCGCAGUUUCUACCAAAACGCUCGCUGCAGAAAAACUCCAUGUCCUAUUUGAAAAAAGUCUGGACCAUGAGUGAGGGCACAAACACAGCUAAGAUAUAUCCAAAUGGCAAGUUGCUCCUCCUUUCGCUUUUGCCGAGAGAGCAGUGCGUUUGAGCCAUUGAAUGAUGAACAGGAAAAACUUGACUUUAUUCUCCUGCCAUGGGGGGGCGCUCUUUUAACGAGAAAAAACUCCUUCAUAAAUGUGUUGAUGGCUGGACAUUGCAUCAUCCUAGAAAACAUGGAGGCCAGUGAGGACAAAAAUAACUAGGACCCCGUUGGGGCACUGGCGGGCCCGAGCUGUGUCGCGUCCCCCCCCCAACGCGCUGCCUCCCCGUCCCAUUUGUUUCCUCUGGCCAUCGCCCUCUCUGGUAACGCCCAUCACUGCAAAGACCCUUUUCCUUCAUCAGCGUUUGCUGUUCUUCCUGCCAGUGCGUGUUGCUUUCACUUACACUUGCCACAGCCAGCCUCGUGAGUGCCUAGCCUAUUGGAUAUCACUGUCACCUACACAGGACAGUCAUUACCUUUCUAUUAAUACUUUGUUUUUUAAUUUCACAUUAAUUUCCAUAUUGUAUAAACAACUGGAAAAAACUUGAGCCCCUGCCCCUGUAUAAUCAUGUGCACGUCUCUGUUCUAGCUCUAAGGUGAAUCUUCACUGCUCAUGUUCUCCUCAGAAGCAGUCACCUCACUCCCCUCAGGUUACUGUACACAUGCACCAACUGCCUGCUUCAGGUUUGGAUGGAGCUUCAUGGUUGUCUUUUGGAGAAAUGACCAGUCAAGUUGUGUUUGAAAUUUGAUUUUUUUCAGGGGCAAAAGGAGCCUCUGCAUUCUUGUCAAAUAUGUAAAUAGCAUGUUUUUGCAGGUGCUAAAAACCAGACUCUGAGUGUGUGUGUGUGCGUGUGUGUGUGUGUCUGUGUGUGUGUGUGUGCGUUCAAGUCACAUGACAUAUUUAACCGGAUGUAGCUGCAAGACGGAGCCUCGUUGACUCUCCGUUUCAACUUAUCUCAAAAGUGAGGACCUCAACCUAUAUACCAGUUUUUAAAUUGUGUUGAUAGGCCAAAUAAAACCAGAGUUAUGAUAAAUUAUGUCCGCGAUACUUGUUUUCUGCUUAUUUUGAUCACGUUCGGCGCUCGAUCGCGCUGUAUGAGACAGGAAAACAUAGCAUGCAGACAUUAGCGACAGCUCUUACAGGCGGAAAAGGCUUGCCAAAGGAAAAAAAAACACACCACAACAUCUCUCCUAUUGGUGGAAAACUUCACCACAACAACCAAUCCAAAAUUAUAUGGUGACUGAUUGACAAGGGGCGGGCGCUUACGUUCUUCCUGCAAUAUGAGAAGGGAGGGAGGGACUCUCAGCAGGGAUGCAGUCUGGGACACGUAGUUGCAAACCUAGCGACUUUGUUGUUAGAUUCAAUGACUUUUCAGACCCCCUAACGACUUUUUUUUAGAAAGAAAGUGACUUUUAUCGACUUCUUCUGGAGUUUAGAGACUCUGACAUGAAGCAGGCUUUCCUUACUGAGGAGUUAGCAACGCUGCUAAGGGUGCAGAGCCACACAUGCGCUCCGAGCUCUGCAUGGGAGACUGAAGCUGACAGAGCUGCAGCAGUUAGCAGGUUUCACCCUCAGAGACCACCAGGGGUUCAUGUUGAGGCAUUUUUAGUUUUUUUUUUUUUUUUUUUGCCAUAGACACUGUCAGCACAAUCUGCAGUUACACUAACAAAAAUGCUGCAAAAAACAAAGAAUUAUGGAAAAAUUACACAUGGACUAACAUAGAGGAGGAUCUACACAAGUUUUUUACAUCAUGUUUUACAUCAUGCAUCAUUUACAUCAUGUUUUUUUGUAGUGGCAUAAAUAAAAAGUGACAUUUGUGAGACUAUACAGUGUUUUGUAAAUAAUUUUACAAAGAACACCUGGGCGAUUGCCUGCAUUUUGAUGUAAAUAGAGGCAAAUUACUAUGUUCUUUGUUAAAAAUUUGCAUAUGUUUUGAAGUUUACAAUUUUUAUUUGAAGUUUAAGUUUUAAAAACAGUUCAUCACACAUAUUUGUGGUUUUCACAGUAAAAACGUUACUUUUUUCCACUCGGAUUUUAUGUUUUGUGUGUGAAUUUGGGUCCAAUGUGUAAAUAUAGUAUGUCAAAAUGAUAAAAUAACUGUAAAUUGACACAGGUGAGUUUGUGCUGAAAAAAAUGAUACUAGGCAAGGCAAGGUAAAAAUUUUGUAAGAGGAAAUAUAAAGGUAAAAUCUAAAGUAGUCAAAAACGGCCAAUAGUGACUCACAGACUCCACAGACAAGUCCCUUUGGCGCCACUCAGUGGGCAAAACUACUUUGUCUACUGUAAUGUAUAUUUGGGUCAUCUUUGGCGCCCCCUAAAACGUAAACCGUGGGGUGCAGCGUCAUGAUUUUUACAACUUUGAAUGGCCAUGGAGUGUAGAUUGGCCUGAGCAAAUUUGGUGUCAGUGGGACGAAAGCCUUAGGAGUAGUUAGCGAAAUUCCAAUGUGUGCGAAUCGGCAAAAAAUGCAAAAUAGCCCUUUUACCGUACAUUAUACAGAUACGGGCUCUUUGACUUUUUCGUAGAUCUAAUUGAGAUACACAUGAUUGUCAAUUUUUGUGUCAUUUUGCCAAAGCGUACAGGCGUGACAGUCAACAAUGUGUAUUUUCACCUUAGGGGACAAGAAAAAAUGGACUUUUUUCUCCUGCCAUGGGGGGGCGCUCUAUUAGGGAGUAAAAAUUCCUUCACAAAUGUGUUGAUGGCUGGACAUUGCAUCAUCCUAGAAAACUUGGAGGCCAGUGAGGACAAAAAUAAAAAGUUAUAAGACUUUUAAAAUGUGGAUUUUUGGGUUAUCUUUGGCGCCCCCUAGAACGUAAACCGUGGGGUGCAGCGUCAUGAUUUGAAUAACUUUUAAUGGCCAUGGGGUGUAAUUUGGCCUGAGCAAAUGUGGUGCCGGUGGAACGAAAGCCUUCGGAGGAGUUAGCGAAAUUCCAAUGUGUGCGAAUCGGCAAAAAAUGCGGAAUAACCCUUUAACCGUACAUUUGACAGAUACGCGCGCAUGGACUUUUUUGUAGAUCUUAUUGAGAUACAUGUGUGUGUCAAUUUUUGUGUCAUUUUGACAAAGCGUACAGGCGUGACACUCAACAAUGUGUAUUUUCACCUUAGGGGACAAGAAAAAAUGGACUUUUUUCUCCUGCCAUGGGGGGGCGCUCUUUUGGGGAGUAAAAAUUCCUUCACAAAUGUGUUGAUGGCUGGACAUUGCAUCAUCCUAGAAAACUUGGAGGCCAGUGAGGGCAAAAAUAAAAAGUUAUAAGACUUUUAAAUAUGUGGAUUUUAGGGUUAUCUUUGGCGCCCCCUAGAACCUAAACCGUGGGGUGCAGCGUCAUGAUUUGAAUAACUUUUAAUGGCCAUGGGGUGUAGAUUGGCCUGAGCAAAUGUGGUGCCGGUGGAACGAAAGCCUUCGGAGGAGUUAGCGAAACUCCAAUGUGUGCGGAUCGGCAAAAAAUGCGAAAUAGCCCUUUAACCGUACAUUUGACAGAUACGCCCGCACUGACUUUUUUGUAGAUCUUAUUGAGAUACAUGUGUGUGUCAAUUUUUGUGUCAUUUUGACAAAGCGUACAGGCGUGACAGUCAAUAGUGUGAAUUUUCACCUUAGGGGGCGCUAUGGAGCCAUUUUGCAUUUUCUUGUUUGGGCGACUUCGGAAUAUCAAAUUUUUCACCAGGCCCGGUCGUCCUGCCAAAUUUCAUGAGUUUUCGCCAGUGGGAAGUGGGCCAUUUUCCAGUUCAAAAGGGAGGAAAAAGAAACUAGGGCCCCGUUGGGGCACUGGCGGGCCCGAGCUGUGUCACGCCGCCCCCAACACGACCGCCUCUCCCUCCCGAUCGCGUCACACUCAAGGUUCAACGAUGGUGUGCGCACUUGUCUGUGGUCAUUUACCAUUAUAAUGAAUGGGAGGCGCAGUUUCUACCAAAACGCUUGCUGCAGACAAACUACAUGUCCUAUUUGAAAAAAGUCUGGACCAUGAGUGAGGGCACAAACACAGCUAGGAUAUAUCCAAAUGGCAAGUUCCUCCUCCUUUCGUUUUUUUCCGAGAGAGCGAUGUGUUUGAGCCAUUGAGCGAUGGGCAGGAAAAACUUGACUUUUUCUCCUGCCAUGGGGGGGCACUCUUUUAGGGAGAAAAAAUUCCUUCACAAAUGUGUUGAUGGCUAGACAUUGCAUCAUCCUAGAAAACUUUGAAGCCAGUGAGGACAAAAAUGAAAAGUUAUAAGACUUUUAAGAAUGUGGAUUUUUGGGUUAUCUUUGGCGACCCCUAGAACGUAAACCGUGGGGUGCAGCAUCAUGAUUUGUACAACUUUGAAUGGCCAUGGGGUGUAGAUUGGCCUGAGCAAAUUUGGUGCCGGUGGAACGAAAGCUUUAGGAGGAGUUAGCCACAUUCCAAUGUGAGCGAAUCAACCAAAAAUGCGAAAUAGCCCUUUAACCGUACAUUUUGCAGACACGUGCGCAUUGACUUUUUCGUAGAUCUUAUUGAGAUACACGUGUUUAUCAAAUUUUGUUUCAAUAUGACAAAGCGUACAGGCGUGACACUCAACAAUGUGUAUUUUCACCUUAUAGGACAAGAAAAAAUGGCCUUUUUUCUCCUGCCAUGGGGGGGCGCUCUUUUGGGGAGUAAAAAUUCCUUCACAAAUGUGUUGAUGGCUGGACAUUGCAUCAUCCUAGAAAACUUGGAGGCCAGUGAGGACAGAAAUAAAAAGUUAUAAGACUUGUAAGAAUGUGGAUUUUUGGGUUAUCUUUGGCGCCCCCUACAACGUAAACCGUGGGGUGCAGCGUCAUGAUUUGUACAACUUUGAAUGGCCAUGGGGUGUAGAUUGGCCUGAGCAAAUUUGGUGCCGGUGGAACGAAAGCCUUCGGAGGAGUUAGCGAAAUUCCAAUGUGUGCGGAUCGGCAAAAAAUGCGAAAUAGCCCUUUAAACGUACAUUUGACAGAUUCUCCCGCACUGACUUUUUUGUAGAUCUGAUUGAGAUACACGUGUGUGUCAAAUUUUGUGUCAUUUUGACAAAACGUACAGGCGUGACACUCAAUCAUGUGAAUUUUUCACCUUAGGGGGCGCUAUGGAGCCAUUUUGCAUUUGAUUGUUUGGGUGACUUCAGAAUAUCGAAUUUUUCACCAGGCCCAGUCGUCCUGCCAAAUUUCAUGAGUUUUCACCAGUGGGAAGUGGGCCAUUUUCCAGUUCAAAGGGGCAGAAAAAUAAUAAUAAUAAGACUAGGGCCCCGGUGGGGCACUGUCGGGCCCGAGCCGCGUUGCGCCGCCCCCAGCGCGACCGCCUCCCCCUCCCGAUCGCGUCACACUCAAGGUCCAAAGAUGGUGUGCGCACUUGUCUGUGGUCAUUUCCCAUUAUAAUGAAUGGGAGGCGCAGUUUCUACCAAAACACUCGCUGCAGACAAACUACAUGUCCUAUUUGAAAAAAGUCUGAUCCAUGAGUGAGGGCACAAACACAGCUAGGAUAUAUCCAAAUGGCAAGUUGCUCCUCCUUUCGGAGGAGUUUGAACACAUGACAUGUGUUUGAGCCAUUGAGCGAUGGGCAGGAAAAACUUGACUUUUUCUCCUGCCAUGGGGGGCUCUUUUGGGGAGUAAAAAUUCCUUCACAAAUGUGUUGAUGGCUAGACAUUGCAUCAUCCUAGAAAACUUGGAAGCCAGUGAGGACAAAAAUGAAAAGUUAUAAGACUUUUAAGAAUGUGGAUAUUUGGGUUAUCUUUGGCGCCCCCUAGAACGUAAACCGUGGGGUGCAGCGUCAUGAUUUGUACAACUUUUAAUGGCCAUGGGGUGUAGAUUGGCCUGAGCAAAUGUGGUGCCGGUGGAACGAAAGCUUUAGGAGGAGUUAGCCACAUUCCAAUGUGUGCGAAUCGAUCAAAAAUGCGUAAUAGCCCUUUAACCGUACAUUUUACAGAUACGUGCGCAUUGACUUUUUCGUAGAUCUUAUUGAGAUACACGUGAUUGUCAAAUUUUGUUUCAAUAUGACAAAGCGUACAGGCGUGACACUCAACAAUGUGUAUUUUCACCUUAUGGGACAAGAAAAAAUGGACUUUUUUCUCCUGCCAUGGGGGGGCGCUCUUUUGGGGAGUAAAAAUUCCUUCACAAAUGUGUUGAUGGCUGGACAUUGCAUCAUCCUAGAAAACUUGGAGGCCAGUGAGGACAAAAAUAAAAAGUUAUAAGACUUUUAAGACUGUGGAUUUUUGGGUUAUUUUUGGCGCCCCCUAGAACGUAAACCGUGGGGUGCAGCGUCAUGAUUUGUACAACUUUUAAUGGCCAUGGGGUGUAGAUUGGCCUGAGCAAAUUUGGUGCCGGUGGAACGAAAGCCUUCGGAGGAGUUAGCGAAAUUCCAAUGUGUGCGGUUCCGCAAAAAAUGCAAAAUAGCCCUUUAACCGUACAUUUGACAGAUACGUGCGCAUAUACUUUUUUGUAGAUCUUAUUGAGAUACACGUGUGUGUCAAAUUUUAUGUCAAUAUGACAAAGCGUAUAGGCGUGACACUCAACAAUAUGUAUUUUCACCUUAGGGGACAAGAAAAAAUGGACUUUUUUCUCCUGCCAUGGGGGGGCGCUCUUUUGGGGAGUAAAAAUUCCUUCACAAAUGUGUUGAUGGCUGGUCAUUGCAUCAUCCUAGAAAACUUGGAGGCCAGUGAGGGCAAAAAUAAAAAGUUAUUAGACUUUUAAGAAUGUGGAUUUUUGGGUUAUCUUUGGCGCCCCCUAGAACGUAAACCGUGGGGUGCAGCGUCAUGAUUUGUACAACUUUGAAUGGCCAUGGGGUGUAGAUUGGCCUGAGCAAAUGUGGUGCCGGUGGAACGAAAGCCUUCGGAGGAGUUAGCGAAAUUCCACUGUGUGCGGAUCGGCAAAAAAUGCGAAAUAGCCCUUUAACCGUACAUUUGACAGAUACGCCCGCACUGACUUUUUUGUAGAUCUUAUUGAGAUACACGUGUGUGUCAAAUUUUGUGUCAUUUUGACAAAGCGUACAGGUGUGACACUCAAUCAUGUGAAUUUUUCACCUUAGGGGGCGCUAUGGAGCCAUUUUGCAUUUGAUUGUUUGGGCGACUUCAGAAUAUCGAAUUUUUCACCAGGCCCGGUCGUCCUGCCAAAUUUCAUGAGUUUUCACCAGUGGGAAGUGGGCCAUUUUCCAGUUCAAAGGGGCAGAAAAAUAAGAAGAAGAAGAAGAAGAAGAAGAACUAGGGCCCCGGUGGGGCACUGUCGGGCCCGAGCCGCGUCGCGCCGCCCCCAGCGCGACUGCCUCCCCCUCCCGAUCGCGUCACACUCAAGGUCCAAAGAUGGUGUGCGCACUUGUCUGUGGUCAUUUCCCAUUAUAAUGAAUGGGAGGCGCAGUUUCUACCAAAACGCUCGCUGCAGACAAACUACAUGUCCUAUUUGAAAAAAGUCUGGACCAUGAGUGAGGGCACAAACACAGCUAGUAUAUAUCCAAAUGGCAAGUUGCUCCUCCUUUCGGUUUUGCAGAGAGAGCGAUGCGUUUGAGCCAUUGAGCGAUGGGCAGGAAAAACUUGACUUUUUCUCCUGCCAUGGGGGGGCGCUCUUUUGGGGAGAAAAAAUUCCUUCACAAAUGUGUUGAUGGCUGGACAUUGCAUCAUCCUAGAAAACUUGGAGGCCAGUGAGGACAAAAAUAAAAAGUUAUAAGACUUUUAAAAAUGUGGAUAUUUGGGUCCUCUUUGGCGCCCCCUAGAACGUAAACUGUGGGGUGCAGCGUCAUGAUUUGUACAACUUUGAAUGGCCAUGGGGUGUAGAUUGACCUGAGCAAAUUUGAAGCCGAUGGGACAAAAGAUUUAGGAGGAGUUAGCGAAAUUCCAAUGUGUGCGGAUCGGCAAAAAAUGCGAAAUAACCCUUUAACCGUACAUUUGACAGAUACGCCCGCACUGACUUUUUUGUAGAUCUUAUUGAGAUACAUGUGUGUGUCAAAUUUUGUGUCAUUUUGACAAAGCGUAAAGGCGUGACAGUCAACAAUGUGUAUUUUGGCCUUAGGAGACAAGAAAAAAUGGACUUUUUUCUCCUGCCAUGGGGGGGGGGGCGCUCUUUUGGCGAGUAAAAAUUCCUUCACAAAUGUGUUGAUGGCUGGACAUUGCAUCAUCCUAGAGAACUUGGAGGCCAGUGAGGACAAAAAUAAAAAGUUAUAAGACUUUUAAGACUGUGGAUUUUUGGGUUAUCUUUGGCGCCCCCUAGAACGUAAACCGUGGGGUGCAGCGUCAUGAUUUGUACAACUUUUAAUGGCCAUGGGGUGUAGAUUGGCCUCAGCAAAUGUGGUGCCUUUGGAACGAAAGCCUUCGGAGGAGUUAGCAAAAUUCCAAUGUGUGCGGAUCGGCAAAAAAUGCAAAAUAACCCAUUAACCGUACAUUUGACAGAUACGCCCGCACUGACUUUUUUGUAGAUCUUAUUGAGAUACAUGUGUGUGUCAAUUUUUGUGUCAAUAUGACAAAGCGUACAGCCGUCAUGUGAAUUUUCACCUUAGGGGGCGCUAUGGAGCCAUUUUGCAUUUUAUUGUUUGGGCGACUUCAGAAUAUCGAAUUUUUCACCAGGCCCGGUCGUCCUGCCAAAUGUCCUGAGUUUUCGCCAGUGGGAAGUGGGCCAUUUUCCAGUUUGAAGCGGAGGAAAAAUAAUAACGAAAGAAGGAAACAUGCAGGAACAAGAGGGCUCUCGCAGCUGCUUAGCAGCUACGCUCGGGCCCUAAAGAAGAAUCCAUCAGGAAUAAUAGGGCUCUCGCAGCUGCUUAGCAGCUACGCUCGGGCCCUAAAAAGAAACAAAGAAAAACCACUUGGGGAAUAAUAGGGCUCUCGCAGCUGCUUAGCAGCUACGCUCGGGCCCUAACUAGGGCCCCGUUGGGGCACUGGCGGGCCCGAGCCGUGUCGCGCCGCCCCCAGCGCGACCGCCUACCCCUCCCGAUCGCGUCACACUCAAGGUCCAAAGAUGGUGUGCGCACUUGUCUGUGGUCAUUUACCAUUAUAAUGAAUGGGAGGCGCAGUUUCUACCAAAACGCUCGCUGCAGACAAACUCCAUGUCCUUUUUGAAAAAAGUCUGGACCAUGAGUGAGGGCACAAACACAGCUAGUAUAUAUCCAAAUGGCAAGUUGCUCCUCCUUUCCGUUUUGCCGAGAGAGCGAUGCGUUUGAGCCAUUGAGCGAUGGGCAGGAAAAACUUGACUUUUUCUCCUGCCAUGGGGGGGCGCUCUUUUGGGGAGAAAAAAUUCCUUCACAAAUGUGUUGAUGGCUGGACAUUGCAUCAUCCUAGAGAACUUGGAGGCCAGUGAGGACAAAAAUAAAAAGUUAUAAGACUUUUAAAAAUGUGGAUAUUUGGGUCCUCUUUGGCGCCCCCUAGAACGUAAACCGUGGGGUGCAGCGUCAUGAUUUGUACAACUUUGAAUGGCCAUGGGGUGUAGAUUGACCUGAGCAAAUUUGAAGCCGAUGGGACAAAAGCUUUAGGAGGAGUUAGUGAAAUUCCAAUGUGUGCGAAUCGGCAAAAAAUGCGAAAUAGCCCUUUAACCGUACAUUGAACAGAUACGCUCGCAUUGACUUUUUCGUAGAUCGUAUUGAGAUACAUGUGUAUGUCAAUUUUUGUGUCAUUUUGACAAAGCAUACAGGCGUGACAGUCAACAAUGUGUAUUUUCGCCUUAGGAGACAAGAAAAAAUUGACUUUUUUCUCCUGCCAUUGGGGGGCGCUCAUUUGGGGAGUAAAAAUUCCUUCACAAAUGUGUUGAUGGCUGGACAUUGCAUCAUCCUAGAGAACUUGGAGGCCAGUGAGGACAAAAAUAAAAAGUUAUAAGACUUUUAAGACUGUGGAUUUUUGGGUUAUCUUUGGCGCCCCCUAGAACGUAAACCGUGGGGUGCAGCGUCAUGAUUUGUACAACUUUUAAUGGCCAUGGGGUGUAGAUUGGCCUGAGCAAAUGUGGUGCCGUUGGAACGAAAGCCUUCGGAGGAGUUAGCGAAAUUCCAAUGUGUGCGGAUCGGCAAAAAAUGCGAAAUAACCCUUUAACCGUACAUUUGACAGAUACGCCCGCACUGACUUUUUUGUAGAUCUUAUUGAGAUACAUGUGUGUGUCAAUUUUUGUGUCAAUAUGACAAAGCGUAAAGGCGUGACAGUCAAUAGUGUGAAUUUUCACCUUAGGGGGCGCUAUGGAGCCAUUUUGCAUUUUAUUGUUUGGGCGACUUCAGAAUAUCGAAUUUUUCACCAGGCCCGGUCGUCCUGCCAAAUUUCAUGAGUUUUCGCCAGUGGGAAGUGGGCCAUUUUCCAGUUUAAAGCGGAGGAAAAAUAAUAACUAGGGCCCCGUUGGGGCACUGGCGGGCCCGAGCCGUGUCGCGCCGCCCCCAGCGCGACCGCCUACCCCUCUUGAUCGCGUCACACUCAAGGUCCAAAGAUGGUGUGCGCACUUGUCUGUGGUCAUUUACCAUUAUAAUGAAUGGGAGGCGCAGUUUCUACCAAAACGCUCGCUGCAGACAAACUCCAUGUCCUUUUUGAAAAAAGUCUGGACCAUGAGCGAGGGCACAAACACAGCUAGUAUAUAUCCAAAUGGCAAGUUGCUCCUCCUUUCGGUUUUGCCGAGAGAGCGAUGCUUUUGAGCCAUUGAGCGAUGGGCAGGAAAAACUUGACUUUUUCUCCUGCCAUGGGGGGCGCUCUUUUGGGGAGAAAAAAUUCCUUCACAAAUGUGUUGAUGGCUGGACAUUGCAUCAUCCUAGAAAACUUGGAGGCCAGUGAGGACAAAAAUAAAAAGUUAUAAGACUUUUAAAAAUGUGGAUAUUUGGGUCGUCUUUGGCACCCCCUAGAACGUAAACCGUGGGGUGCAGCGUCAUGAUUUGUACAACUUUGAAUGGCCAUGGGGUGUAGAUUGACCUGAGCAAAUUUGAAGCCGAUGGGACAAAAGCUUUAGGAGGAGUUAGCCACAUUCCAAUGUGUGCGAAUCGGCAAAAAAUGCAAAAUAGCCCUUUAACCGUACAUUGAACAGAUACGCUCGCAUUGACUUUUUCGUAGAUCUUAUUGAGAUACAUGUGUGUGUCAAAUUUUGUGUCAUUUUGACAAAGCGUAAAGGCGUGACAAUCAACAAUGUGUAUUUUCGCCUUAGGAGACAAGAAAAAAUGGACUUUUUUCUCCUGCCAUGGGGGGCGCUCUUUUGGCGAGUAAAAAUUCCUUCACAAAUGUGUUGAUGGCUGGACAUUGCAUCAUCCUAGAGAACUUGGAGGCCAGUGAGGACAAAAAUAAAAAGUUAUAAGACUUUUAAGACUGUGGAUUUUUGGGUUAUCUUUGGCGCCCCCUAGAACGUAAACCGUGGGGUGCAGUGUCAUGAUUUGUACAACUUUUAAUGGCCAUGGGGUGUAGAUUGGCCUGAGCAAAUGUGGUGCCGUUGGAACGAAAGCCUUCAGAGGAGUUAGCGAAAUUCCAAUGUGUGCGGAUCGGCAAAAAAUGCGAAAUAACCCUUUAACCGUACAUGUGACAGAUACGCCCGCACUGACUUUUUUGUAGAUCUUAUUGAGAUACAUGUGUGUGUCAAAUUUUGUGUCAUUUUGACAAAGCGUAAAGGCGUGACAGUCAACGAUGUGUAUUUUCGCCUUAGGAGACAAGAAAAAAUGGACAUUUUUCUCCUGCCAUGGGGGGCGCUCUUUUGGCGAGUAAAAAUUCCUUCACAAAUGUGUUGAUGGCUGGACAUUGCAUCAUCCUAGAGAACUUGGAGGCCAGUGAGGACAAAAAUAAAAAGUUAUAAGACUUUUAAGACUGUGGAUUUUUGGGUUAUCUUUGGCGCCCCCUAGAACGUAAACCGUGGGGUGCAGCGUCAUGAUUUGUACAACUUUUAUUGGCCAUGGGGUGUAGAUUGGCCUGAGCAAAUGUGGUGCCGGUGGAAGGAAAACCUUCGGAGGAGUUAGCGAAAUUCCAAUGUGUGCGGAUCGGCAAAAAAUGCGAAAUAAACCUUUAACCGUACAUUUGACAGAUACGCCCGCACUGACUUUUUUGUAGAUCUUAUUGAGAUACACGUGUGUGUCAAAUUUUGUGUCAUUUUGACAAAGCGUACAGGUGUGACACUCAAUCAUGUGAAUUUUUCACCUUAGGGGGCGCUAUGGAGCCAUUUUGCAUUUGAUUGUUUGGGCGACUUCAGAAUAUCGAAUUUUUCACCAGGCCCGGUCGUCCUGCCAAAUUUCAUGACUUUUCACCAGUGGGAAGUGGGCCAUUUUCCAGUUCAAAGGGGCAGAAAAAUAAUAAGAAGAAGAAGAAGAAGAAAGAAGAAUCCAUCAGGAAUAAUAGGGCUCUCGCAGCUGCUUAGCAGCUACGCUCGGGCCCUAAUAAUAAUAAUAAUAACAAAAGAAGAAUCCAUCAGGAACAAGAGGGCUCUCGCAGCUGCUUAGCAGCUACGCUCGGGCCCUAAAAAGUUAUAAGACUUUUAAAUAUGUGGAUUUUAGGGUUAUCUUUGGCGCCCCCUAGAACCUAAACCGUGGGGUGCAGCGUCAUGAUUUGAAUAACUUUUAAUGGCCAUGGGGUGUAGAUUGGCCUGAGCAAAUGUGGUGCCGGUGGAACGAAAGCCUUCAAAAGGAGUUAGCGAAAUUCCAAUGUGUGCGAAUCUGCAAAAAAUGCGAAAUCACCCUUUAACCGUACAUUUUACAGAUACGUGGCCAUUGACUUUUUCGAAGAUCUUAUUGAAAGACACGUGUAUGUAAAAUUUUGUGUCAAUACGACAAAACAUACAGGCGUAGCACUCAACAAUGUGUAUUUUCACCUUAGUGGACAAGAAAAAAUGGACUUUUUUCUCCUGCCAUGGGGGGCGCUCUUUUGGCGAGUAAAAAUUCCUUCACAAAUGUGUUGAUGGCUGGACAUUGCAUCAUCCUAGAAAACUUGGAGGCCAGUUGGGACAAAAAUAAAAAGUUAUAAGACUUUUAAAUAUGUGGAUUUUACGGUUAUCUUUGGCGCCCCCUAGAACCUAAACCGUGGGGUGCAGCGUCAUGAUUUGAAUAACUUUUAAUGGCCAUGGGGUGUAGAUUGGCCUGAGAAAAUGUGGUGCCGGUGGAACGAAAGCCUUCGGAGGAGUUAGCGAAAUUCCAAUGUGUGCGGAUCGGCAAAAAAUGCGGAAUAACCUUUUAACCGUACAUUUGACAGAUACGUGCGCAUUGACUUUUUUGUAGAUCUUAUUGAGAUACAUGUGUGUGUCAAUUUUGGUGUCAUUUUGCCAAAGCGUACAGGUGUUACACUCAACAAUGUGUAUUUUCACCUUAGGGGACAAGAAAAAAUGGACUUUUUUCUCCUGCCAUGGGGGGGCGCUCUUUUGGGGAGUAAAAAUUCCUUCACAAAUGUGUUGAUGGCUGGACAUUGCAUCAUCCUAGAAAACUUGGAGGCCAGUGAGGGCAAAAAUAAAAAGUUAUAAGACUUUUAAAUAUGUGGAUCUUAGGGUUAUCUUUGGCGCCCCCUAGAACCUAAACCGUGGGGUGCAGCGUCAUGAUUUGAAUAACUUUUAAUGGCCAUGGGGUGUAGAUUGGCCUGAGCAAAUGUGGUGCCGGUGGAACGAAAGCCUUCGGAGGAGUUAGCGAAAUUCCAAUGUGUGCGGAUCUGCAAAAAAUGCGAAAUAACCCUUUAACCGUACAUUUGACAGAUACGCCCGCACUGACUUUUUUGUAGAUCUUAUUGAGAUACAUGUGUGUGUCAAUUUUUGUGUCAUUUUGACAAAGCGUACAGGCGUGACAGUCAAUAGUGUGAAUUUUCACCUUAGGGGGCGCUAUGGAGCCAUUUUGCAUUUUCUUGUUUGGGCGACUUCGGAAUAUCAAAUUUUUCACCAGGCCCGGUCGUCCUGCCAAAUUUCAUGAGUUUUCGCCAGUGGGAAGUGGGCCAUUUUCCAGUUCAAAGGGGAGGAAAAAUAAUAAUAAUAAUAAUAAUAACAAAAGAAGGAAACAUGCAGGAACAAGAGGGCUCUCGCAGCUGCUUAGCAGCUACGCUCGGGCCCUAAUAACAAAAGAAGGAAACUACAAGAACAAGAGGGCUCUCGCAGCUGCUUAGCAGCUACGCUCGGGCCCUAACUAGGACCCCGUUGGGGCACUGGCGUGCCCGAGCCGUGUCGCCCCCCCCCCCCCCCCCCCCCGCGCUGCCUCCCCGUCCCAUUUGUGUCCUCUGGCCAUCGCCCUCUCUGGUAACGCCCAUCACUGCAAAGACCCUUUUCCUUGAUCGGCGUUUGCUGUUCUUCCUGCCAGUGCGUGUUGCUUUCACUUACACUUGCCACAGCCAGCCUCGUGAGUGCCUAGCCUAUUCGAUAUCACUGUCACCUACACAGGACAGUCAUUACCUUUCUAUUAAUACUUUGUGUUUUAAUUUCACAUUAAUUUCCAUAUUGUAUAAACGACUGGAAAAAACUUGAGCCCCUGCCCCUGUAUAAUCAUGUGCAUGUCUCUGUUCUAGCUCCAAGGUGAAUCUUCACUGCUCAUGUUCUCCUCAGAAGCACUCACCUCACUCCCCUCAGGUUACUGUACACAUGCACCAACUGCCUGCUUCAGGUUUGGAUGGAGCUUCAUGGUUGUCUUUUGGAGAAAUGACCAGUCAAGUUGUGUUUGAAAUUUGAUUUUUUUCAGGGGCAAAAGGAGCCUCUGCAUUCUUGUCAAAUAUGUAAAUAGCAUGUUUUUGCAGGUGCUAAAAACCAGACUCUGAGUGUGUGUGUGUGUGUGUGUGUGUGUGUGUGUGUGUGUGCGUGUGUGUGUGUGUGCGUUCAAGUCACAUGACAUAUUUAACCGGAUGUAGCUGCAAGACGGAGCCUCGUUGACUCUCCGUUUCAACUUAUCUCAAAAGUGAGGACCUCAACCUAUAUACCAGUUUUUAAAUUGUGUUGAUAGGCCAAAUAAAACCAGAGUUAUGAUAAAUUAUGUCCGCGAUACUUUUUUUCUGCUUAUUUUUAUCACGUUCGGCGCUCGAUCGCGCUGUAUGAGACAGGAAAACAUAGCAUGCAGACAUUAGCGACAGCUCUUACAGGCGGAAAAGGCUUGCCAAAAGAAAAAAAAAACACACCACAACAUCUCUCCUAUUGGUGGAAAACUUCACCACAACAACCAAUCCAAAAUUAUAUGGUGACUGAUUGACAAGGGGCGGGCGCUUACGUUCUUCCUGCAACAUGAGAAGGGAGGGAGGGACUCUCAGCAGGGAUGCAGUCUGGGACACGUAGUUGCAAACCUAGCGACUUUGUUGUUAGAUUCAAUGACUUUUCAGACCCCCUAACGACUUUUUUUUAGAAAGAAAGGGACUUUUAUCGACUUCUUCUGGAGUUUAGAGACUCUGACAUGAAGCAGGCUUUCCUUACUGAGGAGUUAGCAACGCUGCUAAGGGUGCAGAGCCACACAUGCGCUCAGAGCUCUGCAUGGGAGACUGAAGCUGACAGAGCUGCAGCAGUUAGCAGGUUUCACCCUCAGAGACCACCAGGGGUUCAUGUUGAGGCAUUUUAAUUUUUUUUUUUUUUGUGCCAUAGACACUGUCAGCACAAUCUGCAGUUACACUAACAAAAAUGCUGCAAAAAACAAAGAAUUAUGGAAAAAUUACACAUGGACUGACAUAGAGGAGGAUCUACACAAGUUUUUUACAUCAUGUUUUACAUCAUGCAUCAUUUACAUCAUGUUUUUUUGUAGUGGCAUAAAUAAAAAGUGACAUUUGUGAGACUAUACAGUGUUUUGUAAAUAAUUUUACAAAGAACGCCUGGGCCAUUGCCUGCAUUUUGAUGUAAAUAGAGGUAAAUCACUAUGUUCUUUGUUAAAAAUUUGCAUAUGUCUUGAAGUUUACAAUUUUUAUUUGAAGUUUAAGUUUUAAAAACAGUUCAUCACACAUAUUUGUGGUUUUCACAGUAAAAAUGUUACUUUUUUCCACUCGGAUUUUAUGUUUUGUGUGUGAAUUUGGGUCCAUUGUGUAAAUUCAGUAUGUCAACAUGAUAAAAUAACUGUAAAUUCGCACAGGUGAGGUUGUGCUGAAAAAAAUGAUACCAGGCAAGGCACGUGAUUGUCAAAUUUUGUGUCAAUAUGACAAAGCGUAUAGGCGUGAAUCUCAACAAUAUGUAUUUUCACCUUAGGGGACAAGAAAAAAUGGACUUUUUUCUCCUGCCAUGGGGGGCGCUCUUUUGGGGAGUAAAAAUUCCUUCACAAAUGUGUUGAUGGCUGGACAUUGCAUCAUCCUAGAAAACUUGGAGGCCAGUGAGGACAAAAAUAAAAAGUUAUAAGACUUUUAAAUAUGUGGAUUUUAGGGUUAUCUUUGGCGCCCCCUAGAACCUAAACCGUGGGGUGCAGCGUCAUGAUUUGAAUAACUUUUAAUGGCCAUGGGGUGUAGAUUGGCCUGAGCAAAUGUGGUGCCGGUGGAACGAAAGCCUUCGGAGGAGUUAGCGAAAUUCCAAUGUGUGCGGAUCGGCAAAAAAAGCAGAAUAACCCUUUAACCGUACAUUUGACAGAUACGCGCGCAUUGACUUUUUCGUAGAUCUUAUUGAGAUACAUGUGUGUGUCAAUUUUUGUGUCAUUUUGCCAAAGCGUACAGGUGUUACACUCAACAAUGUGUAUUUUCACCUUAGGGGACAAGAAAAAAUGGACUUUUUUCUCCUGCCAUGGGGGGGCGCUCUUUUGGGGAGUAAAAAUUCCUUCACAAAUGUGUUGAUGGCUGGACAUUGCAUCAUCCUAGAAAACUUGGAGGCCAGUGAGGGCAAAAAUAAAAAGUUAUAAGACUUUUAAAUAUGUGGAUCUUAGGGUUAUCUUUGGCGCCCCCUAGAACCUAAACCGUGGGGUGCAGCGUCAUGAUUUGAAUAACUUUUAAUGGCCAUGGGGUGUAGAUUGGCCUGAGCAAAUGUGGUGCCGGUGGAACGAAAGCCUUCGGAGGAGUUAGCGAAAUUCCAAUGUGUGCGGAUCGGCAAAAAAUGCGAAAUAACCCUUUAACCGUACAUUUGACAGAUACGCCCGCACUGACUUUUUUGUAGAUCUUAUUGAGAUACAUGUGUGUGUCAAUUUUUGUGUCAUUUUGACAAAGCGUACACGCGUGACAGUCAAUAGUGUGAAUUUUCACCUUAGGGGGCGCUAUGGAGCCAUUUUGCAUUUUAUUGUUUGGCCGACUUCGGAAUAUCAAAUUUUUCACCAGGCCCGGUCGUCCUGCCAAAUUUCAUGAGUUUUCGCCAGUGGGAAGUGGGCCAUUUUCCAGUUCAAAGGGGAGGAAAAAUAAUAACUAGGGCCCCGUUGGGGCACUGGCGGGCCCGAGCCGUGUCACGCCGCCCCCAGCGCGACCGCCUCCCCCACCCGAUCGCGUCACACUCAAGGUCCAAAGAUGGUGUGCGCACUUGUUUGUGGUCAUUUACCAUUAUAAUGAACGGGAGGCGCAGUUUCUACCAAAACGCUCGCUGCAGAAAAACUCCAUGUCCUAUUUGAAAAAAGUCUGGACCAUGAGUGAGGGCACAAACACAGCUAAGAUAUAUCCAAAUGGCAAGUUGCUCCUCCUUUCGCUUUUGCCGAAAGAGCAGUGCGUUUGAGCCAUUGAAUGAUGAACAGGAAAAACUUGACUUUAUUCUCCUGCCAUGGGGGGGGCGCUCUUUUAAAGAGAAAAAACUCCUUCACAAAUGUGUUGAUGGCUGGACAUUGCAUCAUCCUAGAAAACAUGGAGGCCAGUGAGGACAAAAAUAAAAAGUUAUAAGACUUUUAAAUAUGUGGAUUUUAGGGUUAUAUUUGGCGCCCCCUAGAACCUAAACCGUGGGGUGCAGCGUCAUGAUUUGAAUAACUUUUAAUGGCCAUGGGGUGUAGAUUGGCCUGAGCAAAUGUGGUGCCGGUGGAACGAAAGCCUUCGGAGGAAUUAGCGAAAUUCCAAUGUGUGCGAAUCUGCAAAAAAUGCGAAAUAACCCUUUAACCGUACAUUUUACAGAUACGUGGCCAUUGACUUUUUCGAAGAUCUUAUUGAAAUACACGUGUAUGUAAAAUUUUGUGUCAAUACGACAAAACAUAAAGGCGUAGCACUCAACAAUGUGUAUUUUCACCUUAGUGGACAAGAAAAAAUUGACUUUUUUCUCCUGCCAUGGGGGGCGCUCUUUUGCCGAGUAAAAAUUCCUUCACAAAUGUGUUGAUGGCUGGACAUUGCAUCAUCCUAGAAAACUUGGAGGCCAGUGAGGGCAAAAAUAAAAAGUUAUAAGACUUUUAAAUAUGUGGAUCUUAGGGUUAUCUUUGGCUCCCCCUAGAACCUAAACCGUGGGGUGCAGCGUCAUGAUUUGAAUAACUUUUAAUGGCCAUGGGGUGUAGAUUGGCCUGAGCAAAUGUGGUGCCGGUGGAACGAAAGCCUUCGGAGGAGUUAGCGAAAUUCCAAUGUGUGCGGAUCGGCAAAAAAUGCGGAAUAACCCUUUAACCGUACAUUUGACAGAUACGCGCGCAUUGACUUUUUCGUAGAUCUUAUUGAGAUACAUGUGUGUGUCAAUUUUUGUGUCAUUUUGCCAAAGCGUACAGGUGUUACACUCAACAAUGUGUAUUUUCACCUUAGGGGACAAGAAAAAAUGGACUUUUUUCUCCUGCCAUGGGGGGGCGCUCUUUUGGGGAGUAAAAAUUCCUUCACAAAUGUGUUGAUGGCUGGACAUUGCAUCAUCCUAGAAAACUUGGAGGCCAGUGAGGGCAAAAAUAAAAAGUUAUAAGACUUUUAAAUAUGUGGAUCUUAGGGUUAUCUUUGGCGCCCCCUAGAACCUAAACCGUGGGGUGCAGCGUCAUGAUUUGAAUAACUUUUAAUGGCCAUGGGGUGUAGAUUGGCCUGAGCAAAUGUGGUGCCGGUGGAACGAAAGCCUUCGGAGGAGUUAGCGAAAUUCCAAUGUGUGCGGAUCGGCAAAAAAUGCGAAAUAACCCUUUAACCGUACAUUUGACAGAUACGCCCGCACUGACUUUUUUGUAGAUCUUAUUGAGAUACAUGUGUGUGUCAAUUUUUGUGUCAUUUUGACAAAGCGUACAGGCGUGACAGUGAAUAGUGUGAAUUUUCACCUUAGGGGGCGCUAUGGAGCCAUUUUGCAUUUUCUUGUUUGGGCGACUUCGGAAUAUCAAAUUUUUCACCAGGCCCGGUCGUCCUGCCAAAUUUCAUGAGUUUUCGCCAGUGGGAAGUGGGCCAUUUUCCAGUUCAAAGGGGAGGAAAAAUAAUAAUAAUAAUAACAAAAGAAGGAAACUACAGAAACAAGAGGGCUCUCGCAGCUGCUUAGCAGCUACGCUCGGGCCCUAACUAGGACCCCGUUGGGGCACUGGCGGGCCCGAGCCGUGUCGCGUCCCCCCCCCCCAACGUGCUGCCUCCCCGUCCCAUUUGUGUCCUCUGGCCAUCGCCCUCUCUGGUAACGCCCAUCACUGCAAAGACCCUUUUCCUUCAUCGGCGUUUGCUGUUCUUCCUGCCAGUGCGUGUUGCUUUCACUUACACUUGCCACAGCCAGCCUCGUGAGUGCCUAGCCUAUUGGAUAUCACUGUCACCUACACAGGACAGUCAUUACCUUUCUAUUAAUACUUUGUGUUUUAAUUUCACAUUAAUUUCCAUAUUGUAUAAACGACUGGAAAAAACUUGAGCCCCUGCCCCUGUAUAAUCAUGUGCAUGUCUCUGUUCUAGCUCCAAGGUGAAUCUUCACUGCUCAUGUUCUCCUCAGAAGCACUCACCUCACUCCCCUCAGGUUACUGUACACAUGCACCAACUGCCUGCUUCAGGUUUGGAUGGAGCUUCAUGGUUGUCUUUUGGAGAAAUGACCAGUCAAGUUGUGUUUGAAAUUUGAUUUUUUUCAGGGGAAAAAGGAGCCUCUGCAUUCUUGUCAAAUAUGUAAAUAGCAUGUUUUUGCAGGUGCUAAAAACCAGACUCUGAGUGUGUGUGUGUGUGUGUGUGUGUGCGUGUGUGUGUGUGCGUUCAAGUCACAUGACAUAUUUAACCGGAUGUAGCUGCAAGACGGAGCCUCGUUGACUCUCCGUUUCAACUUAUCUCAAAAGUGAGGACCUCAACCUAUAUACCAGUUUUUAAAUUGUGUUGAUAGGCCAAAUAAAACCAGAGUUAUGAUAAAUUAUGUCCGCGAUACUUUUUUUCUGCUUAUUUUGAUCACGUUCGGCGCUCGAUCGCGCUGUAUGAGACAGGAAAACAUAGCAUGCAGACAUUAGCGACAGGUCUUACAGGCGGAAAAGGCUUGCCAAAAGAAAAAAAAAACACACCACAACAUCUCUCCUAUUGGUGGAAAACUUCACCACAACAACCAAUCCAAAAUUAUAUGGUGACUGAUUGACAAGGGGCGGGUGCUUACGUUCUUCCUGCAACAUGAGAAGGGAGGGAGGGACUCUCAGCAGGGAUGCAGUCUGGGACACGUAGUUGCAAACCUAGCGACUUUGUUGUUAGAUUCAAUGACUUUUCAGACCCCCUAACGACUUUUUUUUAGAAAGAAAGGGACUUUUAUCGACUUCUUCUGGAGUUUAGAGACUCUGACAUGAAGCAGGCUUUCCUUACUGAGGAGUUAGCAACGCUGCUAAGGGUGCAGAGCCACACAUGCGCUCAGAGCUCUGCAUGGAAGACUGAAGCUGACAGAGCUGCAGCAGUUAGCAGGUUUCACCCUCAGAGACCACCAGGGGUUCAUGUUGAGGCAUUUUAAUUUUUUUUUUUUUUUUGUGCCAUAGACACUGUCAGCACAAUCUGCAGUUACACUAACAAAAAUGCUGCAAAAAACAAAGAAUUAUGGAAAAAUUACACAUGGACUGACAUAGAGGAGGAUCUACACAAGUUUUUUACAUCAUGUUUUACAUCAUGCAUCAUUUACAUCAUGUUUUUUUGUAGUGGCAUAAAUAAAAAGUGACAUUUGUGAGACUAUACAGUGUUUUGUAAAUAAUUUUACAAAGAACGCCUGGGCCAUUGCCUGCAUUUUGAUGAAAAUAGAGGUAAAUCACUAUGUUCUUUGUUAAAAAUUUGCAUAUGUUUUGAAGUUUACAAUUUUUAUUUGAAGUUUAAGUUUUAAAAACAGUUCAUCACACAUAUUUGUGGUUUUCACAGUAAAAAUGUUACUUUUUUCCACUCGGAUUUUAUGUUUUGUGUGUGAAUUUGGGUCCAUUGUGUAAAUUCAGUAUGUCAACAUGAUAAAAUAACUGUAAAUUCGCACAGGUGAGGUUGUGCUGAAAAAAAUGAUACCAGGCAAGGCACGUGAUUGUCAAAUUUUGUGUCAAUAUGACAAAGCGUAUAGGCGUGAAUCUCAACAAUAUGUAUUUUCACCUUAAGGGACAAGAAAAAAUGGACUUUUUUCUCCUGCCAUGGGGGGGCGCUCUUUUGGGGAGUAAAAAUUCCUUCACAAAUGUGUUGAUGGCUGGACAUUGCAUCAUCCUAGAAAACUUGGAGGCCAGUGAGGACAAAAAUAAAAAGUUAUAAGACUUUGAAAUAUGUGGAUUUUAGGGUUAUCUUUGGCGCCCCCUAGAACCUAAACCGUGGGGUGCAGCGUCAUGAUUUGAAUAACUUUUAAUGGCCAUGGGGUGUAGAUUGGCCUGAGCAAAUGUGGUGCCGGUGGAACGAAAGCCUUAGGAGGAGUUAGCCACAUUCCAAUGUGUGCGGAUCGGCAAAAAAUGCGGAAUAACCCUUUAACCGUACAUUUGACAGAUACGCGCACAUUGACUUUUUCGUAGAUCUUAUUGAGUUACAUGUGUGUGUCAAUUUUUGUGUCAUUUUGACAAAGCGUAUAGGCGUGACACUCAACAAUGUGUAUUUUCACCUUAGGGGACAAGAAAAAAUGGACUUUUUUCUCCUGCCAUGGGGGGGCGCUCUUUUGGGGAGUAAAAAUUCCUUCACAAAUGUGUUGAUGGCUGGACAUUGCAUCAUCCUAGAAAACUUGGAGGCCAGUGAGGACAAAAAUAAAAAGUUAUAAGACUUUUAAAUAUGUGGAUUUUAGUGUUAUCUUUGGCGCCCCCUAGAACCUAAACCUUGGGGUGCAGCGUCAUGAUUUUGAUAACUUUUAAUGGCCACGGGGUGUAGAUUGGCCUGAGCAAAUGUGGUGCCGGUGGAACGAAAGCCUUCAGAGGAGUUAGCGAAAUUCCAAUGUGUGCGGAUCGGCAAAAAAUGCGAAAUAACCCUUUAACCGUAAUUUUGACAGAUACGGCCGCACUGACUUUUUUGUAGAUCUUAUUGAGAUACAUAUGUGUGUCAAUUUUUGUGUCAAUAUGACAAAGCGUACAGGCGUGACAGUCAAUAGUGUGAAUUUCCACCUUAGGGGGCGCUAUGGAGCCAUUUUGCAUUUUAUUGUUUGGGCGACUUCAGAAUAUCGAAUUUUUCACCAGGCCCGGUCGUCCUGCCAAAUUUCAUGAGUUUUCGCCAGUGGGAAGUGGGCCAUUUUCCAGUUCAAAGGGGAGGAAAAAGAAAAAAGAAAGAAAGAAACAAAGAAAAACCACUUGGGGAAUAAUAGGGCCUACGCCCGGCUGCUCUGCAGCUGGCUCGGGCCCUAACUAGGACCCCGGUGGGGCACUGUCGGGCCCGAGCCGCGUCGCGCCACCCCCAGCGCGACCGCCUCCCCCUCCCGAUCGCGUCACACUCAAGGUCCAAAGAUGGUGUGCGCACUUGUCUGUGGUCAUUUCCCAUUAUAAUGAAUGGGAGGCGCAGUUUCUACCAAAACACUCGCUGCAGACAAACUUCAUGUCCUAUUUGAAAAAAGUCUGGACCAUGAGCGAGGGCACAAACACAGCUAUGAUAUAUCGAAAUGGCAGGUUGCUCCUCCUUACGGUGUUGCCUGGAGAGCGAUGCGAUUGAGCCAUUGAGCGAUGGGCAGGGUUAACUUGACUUUUUCUCCUGCCUUGGGGGGGGGGGGGGGGGGGGUGGAUUCCUUUAAGAAUGUGGAUUUUUGGGUCAUCUUUGGCGCCCCCUAGAACUGCAGUACUCUGUACUCCUGCAGUGGCCAAAAUGACUUUUAAGAAUGUGGAUUUUUGGGUCAUCUUUGGCGCCCCCUAGAACGUAAACCGUGGGGUGCAGCGUCAUGAUUUUUACAACUUUGAAUGGGCAUGGGGUGUAGAUUGCCCUGAGCAAAUUUGGUAUCGGUGGGACGAAAGCCUUAGGAGGAGAUAGCCACAUUCCAAUGUGUGCGAAUCGGCAAAAAAUGCGAAAUAGCCCUUUAACCGUACAUCAUACAGAUACGCGCUUUUUGACUUUUUCGUAGAUCUAAUUGAGAUACACAUGAUUGUCAAUUUUUGUGUCAAUAUGACAAAGCGUUCAGGCGUGACACUCAACAAUGUGUAUUUUCAUGUAAGGGGACAAGAAAAAAUUGACUUUUUUCUCCUGCCAUGGGGGGGCGCUCUUUUGGGGAGUAAAAAUUCCUUCACAAAUGUGUUGAUGGCUGGACAUUGCAUCAUCCUAGAAAACUUGGAGGGCAGUGAGGACAAAAAUAAAAAGUUAUAAGACUUUUAAGAAUGUGGAUUUUGGGUUAUCUUUGGCGCCCCCUAGAACGUAAACCGUGGGGUGCAGCGUCAUGAUUUGUACAACUUUUAAUGGCCAUGGGGGGUAGAUUGGCCUGCGCAAAUGUGGUGCCGGUCGAACGAAAGCCUUCGGAGGAGUUAGCGAAAUUCCAAUGUGUGCAGAUCUGCAAAAAAUGCAAAAUAACCCAUUAACCGUACAUUUGACAGAUACGCCCGCACUGACUUUUUUGUAGAUCUUAUUGAGAUACAUGUGUGUGUCAAUUUUUGUGUCAAUAUGACAAAGCGUAAAGGCGUGACAGUCAAUAGUGUGAAUUUUCACCUUAGGGGGCGCUAUGGAGCCAUUUUGCAUUUUAUUGUUUGGGCGACUUCAGAAUAUCGAAUUUUUCACCAGGCCCGGUCGUCCUGCCAAAUUUCAUGAGUUUUCGCCAGUGGGAAGUGGGCCAUUUUCCAGUUUAAAGCGGAGGAAAAAUAAUAAUAAUAAUAAUAAUAACAAAAGAAGAAUCCAUCAGGAACAAGAGGGCUCUCGCAGCUGCUUAGCAGCUACGCUCGGGCCCUAAAAAGUUAUAAGACUUUUAAAUAUGUGGAUUUUAGGGUUAUCUUUGGCGCCCCCUAGAACCUAAACCGUGGGGUGCAGCGUCAUGAUUUGAAUAACUUUUAAUGGCCAUGGGGUGUAGAUUGGCCUGAGCAAAUGUGGUGCCGGUGGAACGAAAGCCUUCAAAAGGAGUUAGCGAAAUUCCAAUGUGUGCGAAUCUGCAAAAAAUGCGAAAUCACCCUUUAACCGUACAUUUUACAGAUACGUGGCCAUUGACUUUUUCGAAGAUCUUAUUGAAAGACACGUGUAUGUAAAAUUUUGUGUCAAUACGACAAAACAUACAGGCGUAGCACUCAACAAUGUGUAUUUUCACCUUAGUGGACAAGAAAAAAUGGACUUUUUUCUCCUGCCAUGGGGGGGCGCUCUUUUGGCGAGUAAAAAUUCCUUCACAAAUGUGUUGAUGGCUGGACAUUGCAUCAUCCUAGAAAACUUGGAGGCCAGUUGGGACAAAAAUAAAAAGUUAUAAGACUUUUAAAUAUGUGGAUUUUACGGUUAUCUUUGGCGCCCCCUAGAACCUAAACCGUGGGGUGCAGCGUCAUGAUUUGAAUAACUUUUAAUGGCCAUGGGGUGUAGAUUGGCCUGAGAAAAUGUGGUGCCGGUGGAACGAAAGCCUUCGGAGGAGUUAGCGAAAUUCCAAUGUGUGCGGAUCGGCAAAAAAUGCGGAAUAACCUUUUAACCGUACAUUUGACAGAUACGUGCGCAUUGACUUUUUUGUAGAUCUUAUCUAGAUACAUGUGUGUGUCAAUUUUGGUGUCAUUUUGCCAAAGCGUACAGGUGUUACACUCAACAAUGUGUAUUUUCACCUUAGGGGACAAGAAAAAAUGGACUUUUUUCUCCUGCCAUGGGGGGGCGCUCUUUUGGGGAGUAAAAAUUCCUUCACAAAUGUGUUGAUGGCUGGACAUUGCAUCAUCCUAGAAAACUUGGAGGCCAGUGAGGGCAAAAAUAAAAAGUUAUAAGACUUUUAAAUAUGUGGAUCUUAGGGUUAUCUUUGGCGCCCCCUAGAACCUAAACCGUGGGGUGCAGCGUCAUGAUUUGAAUAACUUUUAAUGGCCAUGGGGUGUAGAUUGGCCUGAGCAAAUGUGGUGCCGGUGGAACGAAAGCCUUCGGAGGAGUUAGCGAAAUUCCAAUGUGUGCGGAUCUGCAAAAAAUGCGAAAUAACCCUUUAACCGUACAUUUGACAGAUACGCCCGCACAGACUUUUUUGUAGAUCUUAUUGAGAUACAUGUGUGUGUCAAUUUUUGUGUCAUUUUGACAAAGCGUACAGGCGUGACAGUGAAUAGUGUGAAUUUUCACCUUAGGGGGCGCUAUGGAGCCAUUUUGCAUUUUCUUGUUUGGGCGACUUCGGAAUAUCAAAUUUUUCACCAGGCCCGGUCGUCCUGCCAAAUUUCAUGAGUUUUCGCCAGUGGGAAGUGGGCCAUUUUCCAGUUCAAAGGGGAGGAAAAAUAAUAACUAGGACCCCGUUGGGGCACUGGCGGGCCCGAGCUGUGUCGCGUCCCCCCCCCAACGCGCUGCCUCCCCGUCCCAUUUGUGUCCUCUGGCCAUCGCCCUCUUUGGUAACGCCCAUCACUGCAAAGACCCUUUUCCUUCAUCGGCGUUUGCUGUUCUUCCUGCCAGUGCGUGUUGCUUUCACUUACACUUGCCACAGCCAGCCUCGUGAGUGCCUAGCCUAUUGGAUAUCACUGUCACCUACACAGGACAGUCAUUACCUUUCUAUUAAUACUUUGUUUUUUAAUUUCACAAAUAAUUUCCAAAUUGUAUAAACGACUGGAAAAAACUUGAGCCCCUGCCCCUGUAUAAUCAUGUGCACGUCUCUGUUCUAGCUCUAAGGUAAAUCUUCACUGCUCAUGUUCUCCUCAGAAGCAGUCACCUCACUCCCCUCAGGUUACUGUACACAUGCACCAACUGCCUGCUUCAGGUUUGGAUGGAGCUUCAUGGUUGUCUUUUGGAGAAAUGACCAGUCAAGUUGUGUUUGAAAUUUGAUUUUUUUCAGGGGCAAAAGGAGCCUCUGCAUUCUUGUCAAAUAUGUAAAUAGCAUGUUUUUGCAGGUGCUAAAAACCAGACUCUGAGUGUGUGUGUGUGUGUGUGUGUGUGUGCGUGUGUGUGUGUCUGUGUGUGCGUUCAAGUCACAUGACAUAUUUAACCGGAUGUAGCUGCAAGACGGAGCCUCGUUGACUCUCCGUUUCAAUUUAUCUCAAAAGUGAGGACCUCAACCUAUAUACCAGUUUUUAAAUUGUGUUGAUAGGCCAAAUAAAACCAGAGUUAUGAUAAAUUAUGUCCGCGAUACUUUUUUUCUGCUUAUUUUGAUCACGUUCGGCGCUCGACCGCGCUGUAUGAGACAGGAAAACAUAGCAUGCAGACAUUAGCGACAGGUCUUACAGGCGGAAAAGGCUUGCCAAAAGAAAAAAAAACACACCACAACAUCUCUCCUAUUGGUGGAAAACUUCACCACAACAACCAAUCCAAAAUUAUAUGGUGACUGAUUGACAAGGGGCGGGCGCUUACGUUCUUCCUGCAACAUGAGAAGGGAGGGAGGGACUCUCAGCAGGGAUGCAGUCUGGGACACGUAGUUGCAAACCUAGCGACUUUGUUGUUAGAUUCAAUGACUUUUCAGACCCCCUAACGACUUUUUUUUAGAAAGAAAGGGACUUUUAUCGACUUCUUCUGGAGUUUAGAGACUCUGACAUGAAGCAGGCUUUCCUUACUGAGGAGUUAGCAACGCUGCUAAGGGUGCAGAGCCACACAUGUGCUCAGAGCUCUGCAUGGGAGACUGAAGCUGACAGAGCUGCAGCAGUUAGCAGGUUUCACCCUCAGAGACCACCAGGGGUUCAUGUUGAGGCAUUUUAAUUUUUUUUUUUUUGUGCCAUAGACACUGUCAGCACAAUCUGCAGUUACACUAACAAAAAUGCUGCAAAAAACAAAGAAUUAUGGAAAAAUUACACAUGGACUGACAUAGAGGAGGAUCUACACAAGUUUUUUACAUCAUGUUUUACAUCAUGCAUCAUUUACAUCAUGUUUUUUUUGUAGUGGCAUAAAUAAAAAGUGACAUUUGUGAGACUAUACAGUGUUUUGUAAAUAAUUUUACAAAGAACGCCUGGGCCAUUGCCUGCAUUUUGAUGUAAAUAGAGGUAAAUCACUAUGUUCUUUGUUAAAAAUUUGCAUAUGUUUUGAAGUUUACAAUUUUUAUUUGAAGUUUAAGUUUUAAAAACAGUUCAUCACACAUAUUUUUGGUUUUCACAGUAAAAAUGUUACUUUUUUCCACUCGGAUUUUAUGUUUUGUGUGUGAAUUUGGGUCCAUUGUGUAAAUUCAGUAUGUCAACAUGAUAAAAUAACUGUAAAUUCGCACAGGUGAGGUUGUGCUGAAAAAAAUGAUACCAGGCAAGGCACGUGAUUGUCAAAUUUUGUGUCAAUAUGACAAAGCGUAUAGGCGUGAAUCUCAACAAUAUGUAUUUUCACCUUAGGGGACAAGAAAAAAUGGACUUUUUUCUGCUGCCAUGGGGGGGCGCUCUUUUGGGGAGUAAAAAUUCCUUCACAAAUGUGUUGAUGGCUGGACAUUGCAUCAUCCUAGAAAACUUGGAGGCCAGUGAGGACAAAAAUAAAAAGUUAUAAGACUUUUAAAUAUGUGGAUUUUAGGGUUAUCUUUGGCGCCCCCUAGAACCUAAACCGUGGGGUGCAGCGUCAUGAUUUGAAUAACUUUUAAUGGCCAUGGGGUGUAGAUUGGCCUGAGCAAAUGUGGUGCCGGUGGAACGAAAGCCUUAGGAGGAGUUAGCCACAUUCCAAUGUGUGCGGAUCGGCAAAAAAUGCGGAAUAACCCUUUAACCGUACAUUUGACAGAUACGCGCGCAUUGACUUUUUCGUAGAUCUUAUUGAGUUACAUGUGUGUGUCAAUUUUUGUGUCAUUUUGACAAAGCGUAUAGGCGUGACACUCAAUAAUGUGUAUUUUCACCUUAGGGGACAAGAAAAAAUGGACUUUUUUCUCCUGCCAUGGGGGGGCGCUCUUUUGGGGAGUAAAAAUUCCUUCACAAAUGUGUUGAUGGCUGGACAUUGCAUCAUCCUAGAAAACUUGGAGGCCAGUGAGGGCAAAAAUAAAAAGUUAUAAGACUUUUAAAUAUGUGGAUUUUAGUGUUAUCUUUGGCGCCCCCUAGAACCUAAACCUUGGGGUGCAGCGUCAUGAUUUUGAUAACUUUUAAUGGCCACGGGGUGUAGAUUGGCCUGAGCAAAUGUGGUGCCGGUGGAACGAAAGCCUUCGGAGGAGUUAGCGAAAUUCCAAUGUGUGCGGAUCGGAAAAAAAUGCGAAAUAACCCUUUAACCGUAAUUUUGACAGAUACGGCCGCACUGACUUUUUUGUAGAUCUUAUUGAGAUACAUAUGUGUGUCAAUUUUUGUGUCAAUAUGACAAAGCGUACAGGCGUGACAGUCAAUAGUGUGAAUUUCCACCUUAGGGGGCGCUAUGGAGCCAUUUUGCAUUUUAUUGUUUGGGCGACUUCAGAAUAUCGAAUUUUUCACCAGGCCCGGUCGUCCUGCCAAAUUUCAUGAGUUUUCGCCAGUGGGAAGUGGGCCAUUUUCCAGUUCAAAGGGGAGGAAAAAGAAGAAAGAAAGAAAGAAAGAAAGAAAGAAAGAAACAAAGAAAAACCACUUGGGGAAUAAUAGGGCCUACGCCCGGCUGCUCUGCAGCUGGCUCGGGCCCUAACUAGGACCCCGUUGGGGCACUGGCGGGCCCGAGCUGUGUCGCGUCCCCCCCCCAACGCGCUGCCUCCCCGUCCCAUUUGUGUCCUCUGGCCAUCGCCCUCUUUGGUAACGCCCAUCACUGCAAAGACCCUUUUCCUUCAUCGGCGUUUGCUGUUCUUCCUGCCAGUGCGUGUUGCUUUCACUUACACUUGCCACAGCCAGCCUCGUGAGUGCCUAGCCUAUUGGAUAUCACUGUCACCUACACAGGACAGUCAUUACCUUUCUAUUAAUACUUUGUUUUUUAAUUUCACAAAUAAUUUCCAAAUUGUAUAAACGACUGGAAAAAACUUGAGCCCCUGCCCCUGUAUAAUCAUGUGCACGUCUCUGUUCUAGCUCUAAGGUAAAUCUUCACUGAUCAUGUUCUCCUCAGAAGCAGUCACCUCACUCCCCUCAGGUUACUGUACACAUGCACCAACUGCCUGCUUCAGGUUUGGAUGGAGCUUCAUGGUUGUCUUUUGGAGAAAUGACCAGUCAAGUUGUGUUUGAAAUUUGAUUUUUUUCAGGGGCAAAAGGAGCCUCUGCAUUCUUGUCAAAUAUGUAAAUAGCAUGUUUUUGCAGGUGCUAAAAACCAGACUCUGAGUGUGUGUGUGUGUGUGUGUGUGUGUGCGUGUGUGUGUGUCUGUGUGUGCGUUCAAGUCACAUGACAUAUUUAACCGGAUGUAGCUGCAAGACGGAGCCUCGUUGACUCUCCGUUUCAAUUUAUCUCAAAAGUGAGGACCUCAACCUAUAUACCAGUUUUUAAAUUGUGUUGAUAGGCCAAAUAAAACCAGAGUUAUGAUAAAUUAUGUCCGCGAUACUUUUUUUCUGCUUAUUUUGAUCACGUUCGGCGCUCGACCGCGCUGUAUGAGACAGGAAAACAUAGCAUGCAGACAUUAGCGACAGGUCUUACAGGCGGAAAAGGCUUGCCAAAAGAAAAAAAAACACACCACAACAUCUCUCCUAUUGGUGGAAAACUUCACCACAACAACCAAUCCAAAAUUAUAUGGUGACUGAUUGACAAGGGGCGGGCGCUUACGUUCUUCCUGCAACAUGAGAAGGGAGGGAGGGACUCUCAGCAGGGAUGCAGUCUGGGACACGUAGUUGCAAACCUAGCGACUUUGUUGUUAGAUUCAAUGACUUUUCAGACCCCCUAACGACUUUUUUUUAGAAAGAAAGGGACUUUUAUCGACUUCUUCUGGAGUUUAGAGACUCUGACAUGAAGCAGGCUUUCCUUACUGAGGAGUUAGCAACGCUGCUAAGGGUGCAGAGCCACACAUGUGCUCAGAGCUCUGCAUGGGAGACUGAAGCUGACAGAGCUGCAGCAGUUAGCAGGUUUCACCCUCAGAGACCACCAGGGGUUCAUGUUGAGGCAUUUUAAUUUUUUUUUUUUUUUGUGCCAUAGACACUGUCAGCACAAUCUGCAGUUACACUAACAAAAAUGCUGCAAAAAACAAAGAAUUAUGGAAAAAUUACACAUGGACUGACAUAGAGGAGGAUCUACACAAGUUUUUUACAUCAUGUUUUACAUCAUGCAUCAUUUACAUCAUGUUUUUUUUGUAGUGGCAUAAAUAAAAAGUGACAUUUGUGAGACUAUACAGUGUUUUGUAAAUAAUUUUACAAAGAACGCCUGGGCCAUUGCCUGCAUUUUGAUGUAAAUAGAGGUAAAUCACUAUGUUCUUUGUUAAAAAUUUGCAUAUGUUUUGAAGUUUACAAUUUUUAUUUGAAGUUUAAGUUUUAAAAACAGUUCAUCACACAUAUUUUUGGUUUUCACAGUAAAAAUGUUACUUUUUUCCACUCGGAUUUUAUGUUUUGUGUGUGAAUUUGGGUCCAUUGUGUAAAUUCAGUAUGUCAACAUGAUAAAAUAACUGUAAAUUCGCACAGGUGAGGUUGUGCUGAAAAAAAUGAUACCAGGCAAGGCACGUGAUUGUCAAAUUUUGUGUCAAUAUGACAAAGCGUAUAGGCGUGAAUCUCAACAAUAUGUAUUUUCACCUUAGGGGACAAGAAAAAAUGGACUUUUUUCUGCUGCCAUGGGGGGCGCUCUUUUGGGGAGUAAAAAUUCCUUCACAAAUGUGUUGAUGGCUGGACAUUGCAUCAUCCUAGAAAACUUGGAGGCCAGUGAGGACAAAAAUAAAAAGUUAUAAGACUUUUAAAUAUGUGGAUUUUAGGGUUAUCUUUGGCGCCCCCUAGAACCUAAACCGUGGGGUGCAGCGUCAUGAUUUGAAUAACUUUUAAUGGCCAUGGGGUGUAGAUUGGCCUGAGCAAAUGUGGUGCCGGUGGAACGAAAGCCUUAGGAGGAGUUAGCCACAUUCCAAUGUGUGCGGAUCGGCAAAAAAUGCGGAAUAACCCUUUAACCGUACAUUUGACAGAUACGCGCGCAUUGACUUUUUCGUAGAUCUUAUUGAGUUACAUGUGUGUGUCAAUUUUUGUGUCAUUUUGACAAAGCGUAUAGGCGUGACACUCAAUAAUGUGUAUUUUCACCUUAGGGGACAAGAAAAAAUGGACUUUUUUCUCCUGCCAUGGGGGGGCGCUCUUUUGGGGAGUAAAAAUUCCUUCACAAAUGUGUUGAUGGCUGGACAUUGCAUCAUCCUAGAAAACUUGGAGGCCAGUGAGGGCAAAAAUAAAAAGUUAUAAGACUUUUAAAUAUGUGGAUUUUAGUGUUAUCUUUGGCGCCCCCUAGAACCUAAACCGUGGGGUGCAGCGUCAUGAUUUGAAUAACUUUUAAUGGCCAUGGGGUGUAGAUUGGCCUGAGCAAAUGUGGUGCCGGUGGAACGAAAGCCUUCGGAGGAGUUAGCGAAAUUCCAAUGUGUGCGGAUCUGCAAAAAAUGCGAAAUAACCCUUUAACCGUACAUUUGACAGAUACGCCCGCACAGACUUUUUUGUAGAUCUUAUUGAGAUACAUGUGUGUGUCAAUUUUUGUGUCAUUUUGACAAAGCGUACAGGCGUGACAGUGAAUAAUGUGAAUUUUCACCUUAGGGGGCGCUAUGGAGCCAUUUUGCAUUUUCUUGUUUGGGCGACUUCGGAAUAUCAAAUUUUUCACCAGGCCCGGUCGUCCUGCCAAAUUUCAUGAGUUUUCGCCAGUGGGAAGUGGGCCAUUUUCCAGUUCAAAGGGGAGGAAAAAUAAUAACUAGGACCCCGUUGGGGCACUGGCGGGCCCGAGCUGUGUCGCGUCCCCCCCCAACGCGCUGCCUCCCCGUCCCAUUUGUGUCCUCUGGCCAUCGCCCUCUUUGGUAACGCCCAUCACUGCAAAGACCCUUUUCCUUCAUCGGCGUUUGCUGUUCUUCCUGCCAGUGCGUGUUGCUUUCACUUACACUUGCCACAGCCAGCCUCGUGAGUGCCUAGCCUAUUGGAUAUCACUGUCACCUACACAGGACAGUCAUUACCUUUCUAUUAAUACUUUGUUUUUUAAUUUCACAAAUAAUUUCCAAAUUGUAUAAACGACUGGAAAAAACUUGAGCCCCUGCCCCUGUAUAAUCAUGUGCACGUCUCUGUUCUAGCUCUAAGGUAAAUCUUCACUGCUCAUGUUCUCCUCAGAAGCAGUCACCUCACUCCCCUCAGGUUACUGUACACAUGCACCAACUGCCUGCUUCAGGUUUGGAUGGAGCUUCAUGGUUGUCUUUUGGAGAAAUGACCAGUCAAGUUGUGUUUGAAAUUUGAUUUUUUUCAGGGGCAAAAGGAGCCUCUGCAUUCUUGUCAAAUAUGUAAAUAGCAUGUUUUUGCAGGUGCUAAAAACCAGACUCUGAGUGUGUGUGUGUGUGUGUGUGUGUGUGUGCGUGUGUGUGUGUCUGUGUGUGCGUUCAAGUCACAUGACAUAUUUAACCGGAUGUAGCUGCAAGACGGAGCCUCGUUGACUCUCCGUUUCAAUUUAUCUCAAAAGUGAGGACCUCAACCUAUAUACCAGUUUUUAAAUUGUGUUGAUAGGCCAAAUAAAACCAGAGUUAUGAUAAAUUAUGUCCGCGAUACUUUUUUUCUGCUUAUUUUGAUCACGUUCGGCGCUCGACCGCGCUGUAUGAGACAGGAAAACAUAGCAUGCAGACAUUAGCGACAGGUCUUACAGGCGGAAAAGGCUUGCCAAAAGAAAAAAAAACACACCACAACAUCUCUCCUAUUGGUGGAAAACUUCACCACAACAACCAAUCCAAAAUUAUAUGGUGACUGAUUGACAAGGGGCGGGCGCUUACGUUCUUCCUGCAACAUGAGAAGGGAGGGAGGGACUCUCAGCAGGGAUGCAGUCUGGGACACGUAGUUGCAAACCUAGCGACUUUGUUGUUAGAUUCAAUGACUUUUCAGACCCCCUAACGACUUUUUUUAGAAAGAAAGGGACUUUUAUCGACUUCUUCUGGAGUUUAGAGACUCUGACAUGAAGCAGGCUUUCCUUACUGAGGAGUUAGCAACGCUGCUAAGGGUGCAGAGCCACACAUGUGCUCAGAGCUCUGCAUGGGAGACUGAAGCUGACAGAGCUGCAGCAGUUAGCAGGUUUCACCCUCAGAGACCACCAGGGGUUCAUGUUGAGGCAUUUUAAUUUUUUUUUUUUUUUGCCAUAGACACUGUCAGCACAAUCUGCAGUUACACUAACAAAAAUGCUGCAAAAAAAAAAGAAUUAUGGAAAAAUUACACAUGGACUGACAUAGAGGAGGAUCUACACAAGUUUUUUACAUCAUGUUUUACAUCAUGCAUCAUUUACAUCAUGUUUUUUUUGUAGUGGCAUAAAUAAAAAGUGACAUUUGUGAGACUAUACAGUGUUUUGUAAAUAAUUUUACAAAGAACGCCUGGGCCAUUGCCUGCAUUUUGAUGUAAAUAGAGGUAAAUCACUAUGUUCUUUGUUAAAAAUUUGCAUAUGUUUUGAAGUUUACAAUUUUUAUUUGAAGUUUAAGUUUUAAAAACAGUUCAUCACACAUAUUUUUGGUUUUCACAGUAAAAAUGUUACUUUUUUCCACUCGGAUUUUAUGUUUUGUGUGUGAAUUUGGGUCCAUUGUGUAAAUUCAGUAUGUCAACAUGAUAAAAUAACUGUAAAUUCGCACAGGUGAGGUUGUGCUGAAAAAAAUGAUACCAGGCAAGGCACGUGAUUGUCAAAUUUUGUGUCAAUAUGACAAAGCGUAUAGGCGUGAAUCUCAACAAUAUGUAUUUUCACCUUAGGGGACAAGAAAAAAUGGACUUUUUUCUGCUGCCAUGGGGGGGCGCUCUUUUGGGGAGUAAAAAUUCCUUCACAAAUGUGUUGAUGGCUGGACAUUGCAUCAUCCUAGAAAACUUGGAGGCCAGUGAGGACAAAAAUAAAAAGUUAUAAGACUUUUAAAUAUGUGGAUUUUAGGGUUAUCUUUGGCGCCCCCUAGAACCUAAACCGUGGGGUGCAGCGUCAUGAUUUGAAUAACUUUUAAUGGCCAUGGGGUGUAGAUUGGCCUGAGCAAAUGUGGUGCCGGUGGAACGAAAGCCUUAGGAGGAGUUAGCCACAUUCCAAUGUGUGCGGAUCGGCAAAAAAUGCGGAAUAACCCUUUAACCGUACAUUUGACAGAUACGCGCGCAUUGACUUUUUCGUAGAUCUUAUUGAGUUACAUGUGUGUGUCAAUUUUUGUGUCAUUUUGACAAAGCGUAUAGGCGUGACACUCAAUAAUGUGUAUUUUCACCUUAGGGGACAAGAAAAAAUGGACUUUUUUCUCCUGCCAUGGGGGGGCGCUCUUUUGGGGAGUAAAAAUUCCUUCACAAAUGUGUUGAUGGCUGGACAUUGCAUCAUCCUAGAAAACUUGGAGGCCAGUGAGGGCAAAAAUAAAAAGUUAUAAGACUUUUAAAUAUGUGGAUUUUAGUGUUAUCUUUGGCGCCCCCUAGAACCUAAACCUUGGGGUGCAGCGUCAUGAUUUUGAUAACUUUUAAUGGCCACGGGGUGUAGAUUGGCCUGAGCAAAUGUGGUGCCGGUGGAACGAAAGCCUUCGGAGGAGUUAGCGAAAUUCCAAUGUGUGCGGAUCGGAAAAAAAUGCGAAAUAACCCUUUAACCGUAAUUUUGACAGAUACGGCCGCACUGACUUUUUUGUAGAUCUUAUUGAGAUACAUAUGUGUGUCAAUUUUUGUGUCAAUAUGACAAAGCGUACAGGCGUGACAGUCAAUAGUGUGAAUUUCCACCUUAGGGGGCGCUAUGGAGCCAUUUUGCAUUUUAUUGUUUGGGCGACUUCAGAAUAUGGAAUUUUUCACCAGGCCCGGUCGUCCUGCCAAAUUUCAUGAGUUUUCGCCAGUGGGAAGUGGGCCAUUUUCCAGUUCAAAGGGGAGGAAAAAGAAGAACUAGGACCCCGUUGGGGCACUGGCGGGCCCGAGCCGUGUCGCGUCCCCCCCCCCCCCCCACGUGCUGCCUCCCCGUCCCAUUUGUGUCCUCUGGCCAUCGCCCUCUCUGGUAACGCCCAUCACUGCAAAGACCCUUUUCCUUCAUCGGCGUUUGCUGUUCUUCCUGCCAGUGCGUGUUGCUUUCACUUACACUUGCCACAGCCAGCCUCGUGAGUGCCUAGCCUAUUGGAUAUCACUGUCACCUACACAGGACAGUCAUUACCUUUCUAUUAAUAUUUGUGUUUUAAUUUCACAUUAAUUUCCAUAUUGUAUAAACGACUGGAAAAAACUUGAGCCCCUGCCCCUGUAUAAUCAUGUGCAUGUCUCUGUUCUAGCUCCAAGGUGAAUCUUCACUGCUCAUGUUCUCCUCAGAAGCACUCACCUCACUCCCCUCAGGUUACUGUACACAUGCACCAACUGCCUGCUUCAGGUUUGGAUGGAGCUUCAUGGUUGUCUUUUGGAGAAAUGACCAGUCAAGUUGUGUUUGAAAUUUGAUUUUUUUCAGGGGCAAAAGGAGCCUCUGCAUUCUUGUCAAAUAUGUAAAUAGCAUGUUUUUGCAGGUGCUAAAAACCAGACUCUGAGUGUGUGUGUGUGUGUGUGUGUGUGUGUGUGUGUGUGUGUGUGUGUGUGUGUGUGUGUGUGUGAGUGUGUGUGUGUCUGUGUGUGCGUUCAAGUCACAUGACAUAUUUAACCGGAUGUAGCUGCAAGACGGAGCCUCGUUGACUCUCCGUUUCAACUUAUCUCAAAAGUGAGGACCUCAACCUAUAUACCAGUUUUUAAAUUGUGUUGAUAGGCCAAAUAAAACCAGAGUUAUGAUAAAUUAUGUCCGCGAUACUUUUUUUCUGCUUAUUUUGAUCACGUUCGGCGCUCGAUCGCGCUGUAUGAGACAGGAAAACAUAGCAUGCAGACAUUAGCGACAGCUCUUACAGGCGGAAAAGGCUUGCCAAAAGAAAAAAAAACACACCACAACAUCUCUCCUAUUGGUGGAAAACUUCACCACAACAACCAAUCCAAAAUUAUAUGGUGACUGAUUGACAAGGGGCGGGCGCUUACGUUCUUCCUGCAACAUGAGAAGGGAGGGAGGGACUCUCAGCAGGGAUGCAGUCUGGGACACGUAGUUGCAAACCUAGCGACUUUGUUGUUAGAUUCAAUGACUUUUCAGACCCCCUAACGACUUUUUUUUAGAAAGAAAGGGACUUUUAUCGACUUCUUCUGGAGUUUAGAGACUCUGACAUGAAGCAGGCUUUCCUUACUGAGGAGUUAGCAACGCUGCUAAGGGUGCAGAGCCACACAUGCGCUCAGAGCUCUGCAUGGGAGACUAAAGCUGACAGAGCUGCAGCAGUUAGCAGGUUUCACCCUCAGAGACCACCAGGGGUUCAUGUUGAGGCAUUUUAAUUAUUAUUUUUUUUUUGUGCCAUAGACACUGUCAGCACAAUCUGCAGUUACACUAACAAAAAUGCUGCAAAAAACAAAGAAUUAUGGAAAAAUUACACAUGGACUGACAUAGAGGAGGAUCUACACAAGUUUUUUACAUCAUGUUUUACAUCAUGCAUCAUUUACAUCAUGUUUUUUUGUAGUGGCAUAAAUAAAAAGUGACAUUUGUGAGACUAUACAGUGUUUUGUAAAUAAUUUUACAAAGAAUGCCUGGGCCAUUGCCUGCAUUUUGAUGUAAAUAGAGGUAAAUCACUAUGUUCUUUGUUAAAAAUUUGCAUAUGUUUUGAAGUUUACAAUUUUUAUUUGAAGUUUAAGUUUUAAAAACAGUUCAUCACACAUAUUUGUGGUUUUCACAGUAAAAAUGUUACUUUUUUCCACUCGGAUUUUAUGUUUUGUGUGUGAAUUUUGGUCCAUUGUGUAAAUUCAGUAUGUCAACAUGAUAAAAUAACUGUAAAUUCGCACAGGUGAGGUUGUGCUGAAAAAAAUGAUACCAGGCAAGGCACGUGAUUGUCAAAUUUUGUGUCAAUAUGACAAAGCGUAUAGGCGUGAAUCUCAACAAUAUGUAUUUUCACCUUAGGGGACAAGAAAAAAUGGACUUUUUUCUCCUACCAUGGGGCGGCGCUCUUUUGGGGAGUAAAAAUUCCUUCACAAAUGUGUUGAUGGCUGGACAUUGCAUCAUCCUAGAAAACUUGGAGGCCAGUGAGGACAAAAAUAAAAAGUUAUAAGACUUUUAAAUAUGUGGAUUUUAGGGUUAUCUUUGGCGCCCCCUAGAACCUAAACCGUGGGGUGCAGCGUCAUGAUUUUGAUAACUUUUAAUGGCCAUGGGGUGUAGAUUGGCCUGAGCAAAUGUGGUGCCGGUGGAACGAAAGCCUUAGGAGGAGUUAGCGAAAUUCCAAUGUGUGCGGAUCGGCAAAAAAUGCGGAAUAACCCUUUAACCGUACAUUUGACAGAUACGCGCGCAUUGACUUUUUCGUAGAUCUUAUUGAGUUACAUGUGUGUGUCAAUUUUUGUGUCAUUUUGACAAAGCGUAUAGGCGUGACACUCAACAAUGUGUAUUUUCACCUUAGGGGACAAGAAAAAAUGGACUUUUUUCUCCUGCCAUGGGGGGGCGCUCUUUUGGGGAGUAAAAAUUCCUUCACAAAUGUGUUGAUGGCUGGACAUUGCAUCAUCCUAGAAAACUUGGAGGCCAGUGAGGACAAAAAUAAAAAGUUAUAAGACUUUUAAAUAUGUGGAUUUUAGUGUUAUCUUUGGCGCCCCCUAGAACCUAAACCUUGGGGUGCAGCGUCAUGAUUUUGAUAACUUUUAAUGGCCACGGGGUGUAGAUUGGCCUGAGCAAAUGUGGUGCCGGUGGAACGAAAGCCUUCGGAGGAGUUAGCGAAAUUCCAAUGUGUGCGGAUCGGCAAAAAAUGCGAAAUAACCCUUUAACCGUAAUUUUGACAGAUACGGCCGCACUGACUUUUUUGUAGAUCUUAUUGAGAUACAUAUGUGUGUCAAUUUUUGUGUCAAUAUGACAAAGCGUACAGGCGUGACAGUCAAUAGUGUGAAUUUUCACCUUAGGGGGCGCUAUGGAGCCAUUUUGCAUUUUAUUGUUUGGGCGACUUCAGAAUAUCAAAUUUUUCACCAGGCCCGGUCGUCCUGCCAAAUUUCAUGAGUUUUCGCCAGUGGGAAGUGGGCCAUUUUCCAGUUCAAAGGGGAGGAAAAAGAAAAAAGAAAGAAAGAAACAAAGAAAAACCACUUGGGGAAUAAUAGGGCCUACGCCCGGCUGCUCUGCAGCUGGCUCGGGCCCUAAAGAAAGAAAGAAAGAAAGAAAGAAAGAAACAAAGAAAAACCACUUGGGGAAUAAUAGGGCCUACGCCCGGCUGCUCUGCAGCUGGCUCGGGCCCUAAUAAUAACAAAAGAAGGAAACUACAGGAACAAGAGGGCUCUCGCAGCUGCUUAGCAGCUACGCUCGGGCCCUAACUAGGACCCCGUUGGGGCACUGGCGGGCCCGAGCUGUGUCGCGUCCCCCCCCCAACGCGCUGCCUCCCUGUCCCAUUUGUUUCCUCUGGCCAUCGCCCUCUCUGGUAACGCCCAUCACUGCAAAGACCCUUUUCCUUCAUCAGCGUUUGCUGUUCUUCCUGCCAGUGCGUGUUGCUUUCACUUACACUUGCCACAGCCAGCCUCGUGAGUGCCUAGCCUAUUGGAUAUCACUGUCACCUACACAGGACAGUCAUUACCUUUCUAUUAAUACUUUGUUUUUUAAUUUCACAUUAAUUUCCAUAUUGUAUAAACAACUGGAAAAAACUUGAGCCCCUGCCCCUGUAUAAUCAUGUGCACGUCUCUGUUCUAGCUCUAAGGUGAAUCUUCACUGCUCAUUUCUCCUCAGAAGCAGUCACCUCACUCCCCUCAGGUUACUGUACACAUGCACCAACUGCCUGCUUCAGGUUUGGAUGGAGCUUCAUGGUUGUCUUUUGGAGAAAUGACCAGUCAAGUUGUGUUUGAAAUUUGAUUUUUUUCAGGGGCAAAAGGAGCCUCUGCAUUCUUGUCAAAUAUGUAAAUAGCAUGUUUUUGCAGGUGCUAAAAACCAGACUCUGAGUGUGUGUGUGUGCGUGUGUGUGUGUGUCUGUGUGUGUGUGUGUGCGUUCAAGUCACAUGACAUAUUUAACCGGAUGUAGCUGCAAGACGGAGCCUCGUUGACUCUCCGUUUCAACUUAUCUCAAAAGUGAGGACCUCAACCUAUAUACCAGUUUUUAAAUUGUGUUGAUAGGCCAAAUAAAACCAGAGUUAUGAUAAAUUAUGUCCGCGAUACUUGUUUUCUGCUUAUUUUGAUCACGUUCGGCGCUCGAUCGCGCUGUAUGAGACAGGAAAACAUAGCAUGCAGACAUUAGCGACAGCUCUUACAGGCGGAAAAGGCUUGCCAAAGGAAAAAAAAAACACACCACAACAUCUCUCCUAUUGGUGGAAAACUUCACCACAACAACCAAUCCAAAAUUAUAUGGUGACUGAUUGACAAGGGGCGGGCGCUUACGUUCUUCCUGCAAUAUGAGAAGGGAGGGAGGGACUCUCAGCAGGGAUGCAGUCUGGGACACGUAGUUGCAAACCUAGCGACUUUGUUGUUAGAUUCAAUGACUUUUCAGACCCCCUAACGACUUUUUUUUAGAAAGAAAGUGACUUUUAUCGACUUCUUCUGGAGUUUAGAGACUCUGACAUGAAGCAGGCUUUCCUUACUGAGGAGUUAGCAACGCUGCUAAGGGUGCAGAGCCACACAUGCGCUCCGAGCUCUGCAUGGGAGACUGAAGCUGACAGAGCUGCAGCAGUUAGCAGGUUUCACCCUCAGAGACCACCAGGGGUUCAUGUUGAGGCAUUUUUAGUUUUUUUUUUUUUUUUUUUGCCAUAGACACUGUCAGCACAAUCUGCAGUUACACUAACAAAAAUGCUGCAAAAAACAAAGAAUUAUGGAAAAAUUACACAUGGACUAACAUAGAGGAGGAUCUACACAAGUUUUUUACAUCAUGUUUUACAUCAUGCAUCAUUUACAUCAUGUUUUUUUGUAGUGGCAUAAAUAAAAAGUGACAUUUGUGAGACUAUACAGUGUUUUGUAAAUAAUUUUACAAAGAACACCUGGGCGAUUGCCUGCAUUUUGAUGUAAAUAGAGGCAAAUUACUAUGUUCUUUGUUAAAAAUUUGCAUAUGUUUUGAAGUUUACAAUUUUUAUUUGAAGUUUAAGUUUUAAAAACAGUUCAUCACACAUAUUUGUGGUUUUCACAGUAAAAACGUUACUUUUUUCCACUCGGAUUUUAUGUUUUGUGUGUGAAUUUGGGUCCAAUGUGUAAAUAUAGUAUGUCAAAAUGAUAAAAUAACUGUAAAUUGACACAGGUGAGGUUGUGCUGAAAAAAAUGAUACUAGGCAAGGCAAGGUAAAAAUUUUGUAAGAGGAAAUAUAAAGGUAAAAUCUAAAGUAGUCAAAAACGGCCAAUAGUGACUCACAGACUCCACAGACAAGUCCCUUUGGCGCCACUCAGUGGGCAAAACUACUUUGUCUACUGUAAUGUAUAUUUGGGUCAUCUUUGGCGCCCCCUAAAACGUAAACCGUGGGGUGCAGCGUCAUGAUUUUUACAACUUUGAAUGGCCAUGGAGUGUAGAUUGGCCUGAGCAAAUUUGGUGUCAGUGGGACGAAAGCCUUAGGAGGAGUUAGCGAAAUUCCAAUGUGUGCGAAUCGGCAAAAAAUGCAAAAUAGCCCUUUUACCUACAUUAUACAGAUACGCGCUCUUUGACUUUUUCAUAGAUCUAAUUGAGAUACACAUGAUUGUCAAUUUUUGUGUCAUUUUGCCAAAGCGUACAGGCGUGACAGUCAACAAUGUGUAUUUUCACCUUAGGGGACAAGAAAAAAUGGACUUUUUUCUCCUGCCAUGGGGGGGCGCUCUUUUGGGGAGUAAAAAUUCCUUCACAAAUGUGUUGAUGGCUGGACAUUGCAUCAUCCUAGAAAACUUGGAGGCCAGUGAGGACAAAAAUAAAAAGUUAUAAGACUUUUAAAAAUGUGGAUUUUUGGGUUAUCUUUGGCGCCCCCUAGAACGUAAAUCGUGGGGUGCAGCGUCAUGAUUUGAAUAACUUUUAAUGGCCAUGGGGUGUAGAUUGGCCUGAGCAAAUGUGGUGCCGGUGGAACGAAAGCCUUCGGAGGAGUUAGCGAAAUUCCAAUGUGUGCGGAUCGGCAAAAAAUGCGAAAUAACCCUUUAACCGUACAUUAGACAGAUACGCGCGUAUUGACUUUUUUGUAGAUCUUAUUGAGAUACAUGUGUGUGUCAAUUUUUGUGUCAUUUUGACAAAGCGUACAGGCGUGACAGUCAAUAGUGUGAAUUUUCACCUUAGGGGACAAGAAAAAAUGGACUUUUUUCUCCUGCCAUGGGGGGGCGCUCUUUUGGGGAGUAAAAAUUCCUUCACAAAUGUGUUGAUGGCUGGACAUUGCAUCAUCCUAGAAAACUUGGAGGCCAGUGAGGGCAAAAAUAAAAAGUUAUAAGACUUUUAAAUAUGUGGAUUUUAGGGUUAUCUUUGGCGCCCCCUAGAACCUAAACCGUGGGGUGCAGCGUCAUGAUUUGAAUAACUUUUAAUGGCCAUGGGGUGUAGAUUGGCCUGAGCAAAUGUGGUGCCGGUGGAACGAAAGCCUUCGGAGGAGUUAGCGAAAUUCCAAUGUGUGCGGAUCGGCAAAAAAUGCGAAAUAACCCUUUAACCGUACAUUUGACAGAUACGCCCGCACUGACUUUUUUGUAGAUCUUAUUGAGAUACAUGUGUGUGUCAAUUUUUGUGUCAUUUUGACAAAGCGUAUAGGCGUGACAGUCAAUAGUGUGAAUUUUCACCUUAGGGGGCGCUAUGGAGCCAUUUUGCAUUUUCUUGUUUGGGCGACUUCGGAAUAUCAAAUUUUUCACCAGGCCCGGUCGUCCUGCCAAAUUUCAUGAGUUUUCGCCAGUGGGAAGUGGGCCAUUUUCCAGUUCAAAGGGGAGGAAAAAGAAAAACUAGGGCCCCGUUGGGGCACUGGCGGGCCCGAGCCGUGUCGCGCCGCCCCCCCCCCAACGCGCUGCCUCCCCGUCCCAUUCGUGUCCUCUGGCCAUCGCCCUCUCUGGUAACGCCCAUCACUGCAAAGACCCUUUUCCUUCAUCGGCGUUUGCUGUUCUUCCUGCCAGUGCGUGUUGCUUUCACUUACACUUGCCACAGCCAGCCUCGUGAGUGCCUAGCCUAUUGGAUAUCACUGUCAUCUACACAGGACAGUCAUUACCUUUCUAUUAAUACUUUGUUUUUUAAUUUCACAUUAAUUUCCAUAUUGUAUAAAUGACUGGAAAAAACUUGAGCCCCUGCCCCUGUAUAAUCAUGUGCACGUCCCUGUUCUAGCUCCAAGGUGAAUCUUCACUGCUCAUGUUCUCCUCAGAAGCAGUCACCUCACUCCCCUCAGGUUACUGUACACAUGCACCAACUGCCUGCUUCAGGUUUGGAUGGAGCUUCAUGGUUGUCUUUUGGAGAAAUGAGCAGUCAAGUUGUGUUUGAAAUUAGAUUUUUUUCAGGGGCAAAAGGAGCCUCUGCAUUCUUGUCAAAUAUGUAAAUAGCAUGUUUUUGCAGGUGCUAAAAAACAGACUCUGAGUGUGUGUGUGUGUGUGUGUGUGUGUGCGUGUGUGUGUGUGUGUGUGUGUCUGUGUGUGUUUUUAUCUUGCAGUACUCUGAGAAGAAUAAUAAGCAUAUUUCUGCGGUGAAUUUUGAAGAUUCAUCUGAGAGUUAGGAGGGCUGAUCAUUCCCUUACCCUUUAGAUGUCUGUCUAUGUCUGUUUUUGUGUGAUAAUGAAAGAAUCCCAACUCAAAAAGGCUCUGUUGAUGUUUUUUUUUGUUGUUCAUUCAUAUUCAAACCACUAUUUUAUAUCACUGCUAAUACGCCAAGACCAUUUUAUGGUAUUUAGCUUUAUUAUUUCUAUACAUUUUGCAAGGAAAGAAACCAAGGCCUUCACUAAAAUUUCCAUAAACUUUAGGAAAGGACCUCUGGUUGUUUAAGGGGGUCAUUACUGCAAAAACAUAUUCUUCCUAAAUUUUGAAGGUCAAACCUUAGAUCCAUUAGGUUUAAAUAGAAAAAGCAUUAAAAUAUGUUAGGAUUAUAGCAUAUGACAAAUGUGUGCCUCUCAGUGGCAUAACUACUUUGUCUGCUGGCUCUGCAGUCGAUUGACGCUCCCCAGCGUUCAAGUCACAUGACAUAUUUAACCGGAUGUAGCUGCAAGACGGAGCCUCGUUCACCCUCCGUUUCAACUUAUCUCAAAAGUGAGGACCUCAAACUAUAUACCAGUUUUUAAAUUGUGUUGAUAGGCCAAAUAAAACCAGAGUUAUGAUAAAUUAUGUCCGCGAUACUUUUUUUCUGCUUAUUUUGAUCACGUUCGGCGCUCGAUCACGCUGUAUGAGACAGGAAAACAUAGCAUGCAGACAUUAGCGACAGCUCUUACAGGCGGAAAAGGCAUGCCAAAAGAAAAAAAAACACACCACAACAUCUCUCCUAUUGGUGGAAAACUUCACCACAACAACCAAUCCAAAAUUAUAUGGUGACUGAUUGACAAGGGGCGGGCGCUUACGUUCUUUCUGCAAUAUGAGAAGGGAGGGAGGAACUCUCAGCAGGGAUGCAGUCUGGGAAACGUAGUUGCAAACCUAGCGACUUUGUUGUUAGAUUCAAUGACUUUUCAGACCCCCUAACGACUUUUUUUUAGACAGAAAGGGAAUUUUAUCGACUUCCUCUGGAGUUUAGAGACUCUGACAUGAAGCAGGCUUUCCUUACUGAGGAGUUAGCAACGCUGCUAAGGGUGCAGAGCCACACAUGCGCUCCGAGCUCUGCAUGGGAGACUAGAGCUGAGAGAGCUGCAGCAGUUAGCAGGUUUCACCCUCAGAGACCACCAGGAGUUCAUGUUGAGGCAUUUUCAGUUUUUUUUUUUUUUUUGCCAUAGACACUGUCAGCACAAUCUGCAGUUACACUAACAAAAAUGCUGCAAAAAACAAAGAAUUAUGGAAAAAUUACACAUGGACUGACAUAGAGGAGGAUCUACACAAGUUUUUUACAUCAUGUUUUACAUCAUGCAUCAUUUACAUCAUGUUUUUUUGUAGUGGCAUAAAUAAAAAGUGACAUUUGUGAGACUAUACAGUGUUUUGUAAAUGAUUUUACAAAGAACGCCUGGGCCAUUGCCUGCAUUUUGAUGUAAAUAGAGGUAAAUUACUAUGUUCUUUGUUAAAAAUUUGCAUAUGUUUUGAAGUUUACAAUUUUUAUUUGAAGUUUAAGUUUUAAAAACAGUUCAUCACACAUAUUUGUGGUUUAACUUCACAUUAAUUUCCAUAUUGUAUAAAUGACUGGAAAAAACUUGAGCCCCUGCCCCUGUAUAAUCAUGUGCACGUCCCUGUUCUAGCUCCAAGGUGAAUCUUCACUGCUCAUGUUCUCCUCAGAAGUAGUCACCUCACUCUCCUCAGGUUACUGUACACAUGCACCAACUAUCUGCUUCAGGUUUGGAUGGAGCUUCAUGGUUGUCUUUUGGAGAAAUGAACAGUCAAGUUGUGUUUGAAAUUUGAUUUUUUUCAGGGGCAAAAGGAAGCCUCUGCAUUCUUGUCAAAUAUGUAAACAGCAUGUUUUUGCAGGUGCUAAAAAACAGACUCUGAGUGUGUGUGUGUGUGUGUGUGUGUGUGUGUGUGUGUGUGUGUGUGUGUGGCGUGUGUGUAUAUGUGUGUGUGUCCGGCAGUACUCUGUACUCCUGCAGUGGCCAAAAAGACUUUUAAGAAUGUGGAUUUUUGGGUCAUCUUUGGCGCCCCCUAGAACUGCAGUACUCUGUACUCCUGCAGUGGCCAAAAUGACUUUUAAGAAUGUGGAUUUUUGGGUCAUCUUUGGCGCCCCCUAGAACGUAAACCGUGGGGUGCAGCGUCAUGAUUUUUACAACUUUGAAUGGCCAUGGGGUGUGGAUUGCCCUGAGCAAAUUUGGUAUCGGUGGGACGAAAGCCUUAGGAGGAGUUAGCCACAUUCCAAUGUGUGCGAAUCGGCAAAAAAUGCGAAAUAGCCCUUUAACCAUACAUUUGACAGAUACGUGCCUAUUGACUUUUUUGUAGAUCUUAUUGAGAUACACGUGAUUGUCAAAUUGUGUGUCAAUAUGACAAAGUGUAUAGGCGUGACACUCAACAAUGUGUAUUUUUACCUUAGGAGACAAGAAAAAAUGGACUUUUUUCUCCUGCCAUGGGGGGGCGCUCUUUUGGGGAGUAAAAAUUCCUUCACAAAUGUGUUGAUGGCUGGACAUUGCAUCAUCCUAGAAAACUUGGAGGCCAGUGAGGACAAAAAUAAAAAGUUAUAAGACUUUUAAGAAUGUGGAUUUUUGUGUUAUCUUUGGCGCCCCCUAGAAAGUAAACCGUGGGGUGCAGCAUCAUGAUUUGUACAACUUUUAAUGGCCAUGGGGUGUAGAUUGGCCUGAGCAAACUUGGUGCCGGUGGAACGAAAGCCUUCGGAGGAGUUAGCGAAAUUCCAAUGUGUGUGCGGAUCGGCAAAAAAAGCGAAAUAGCCCUUUAACCGUACAUUUGGCAGAUACGCCCGCACUGACUUUUUCGUAGAUCUUAUUGAGAUACACAUGUGUGUCAAAUUUUGUGUCAUUUUGACAAAGCGUACAGGCAUCAGGUGAGUUUUCACCAUAGGGGGCGCUAUGGAGCCAUUUUUCAUUUUUUUGUUUGGACGACUUCAGAAUAUCAAAUUUUUCACCAGGCCCGGUCGUCCUGCCAAAUUUCCUGAGUUUUCGCCAGUGGGAAGUGGGCCAUUUUCCAGUUUAAAGCGGAGGAAAAAUAACGAAAGAAGAAUCCAUCAGGAACAAGAGGGCUCUCGCAGCUGCUUAGCAGCUACGCUCGGGCCCUAACUAGGACCCCGUUGGGGCACUGGCGGGCCCGAGCCGUGUCGCGUCCCCCCCCCCCCCCCCCCCCACCCCCCAACAUGCUGCCUCCCCGUCCCAUUUGUGUCCUCUGGCCAUCGCCCUCUCUGGUAACGCCCAUCACUGCAAAGACCCUUUUCCUUCAUCGGCGUUUGCUGUUCUUCCUGCCAGUGCGUGUUGCUUUCACUUACACUUGCCACAGCCAGCCUCGUGAGUGCCUAGCCUAUUGGAUAUCACUGUCACCUACACAGGACAGUCAUUACCUUUCUAUUAAUACUUUGUGUUUUAAUUUCACAUUAAUUUCCAUAUUGUAUAAACGACUGGAAAAAACUUGAGCCCCUGCCCCUGUAUAAUCAUGUGCAUGUCUCUGUUCUAGCUCCAAGGUGAAUCUUCACUGCUCAUGUUCUCCUCAGAAGCACUCACCUCACUCCCCUCAGGUUACUGUACACAUGCACCAACUGCCUGCUUCAGGUUUGGAUGGAGCUUCAUGGUUGUCUUUUGGAGAAAUGACCAGUCAAGUUGUGUUUGAAAUUUGAUUUUUUUCAGGGGCAAAAGGAGCCUCUGCAUUCUUGUCAAAUAUGUAAAUAGCAUGUUUUUGCAGGUGCUAAAAACCAGACUCUGAGUGUGUGUGUGUGUGUGUGUGUGUGUGUGUGUGCGUGUGUGUGUGUCUGUGUGUGCGUUCAAGUCACAUGACAUAUUUAAUCGGAUGUAGCUGCAAGACGGAGCCUCGUUGACUCUCCGUUUCAACUUAUCUCAAAAGUGAGGACCUCAACCUAUGUACCAGUUUUUAAAUUGUGUUGAUAGGCCAAAUAAAACCAGAGUUAUGAUAAAUUAUGUCCGCGAUACUUUUUUUCUGCUUAUUUUGAUCACGUUCGGCGCUCGAUCGCGCUGUAUGAGACAGGAAAACAUAGCAUGCAGACAUUAGCGACAGGUCUUACAGGCGGAAAAGGCUUGCCAAAAGAAAAAAAAAACACACCACAACAUCUCUCCUAUUGGUGGAAAACUUCACCACAACAACCAAUCCAAAAUUAUAUGGUGACUGAUUGACAAGGGGCGGGCGCUUACGUUCUUCCUGCAACAUGAGAAGGGAGGGAGGGACUCUCAGCAGGGAUGCAGUCUGGGACACGUAGUUGCAAACCUAGCGACUUUGUUGUCAGAUUCAAUGACUUUUCAGACCCCCUAACGACUUUUUUUUAGAAAGAAAGGGACUUUUAUCGACUUCUUCUGGAGUUUAGAGACUCUGACAUGAAGCAGGCUUUCCUUACUGAGGAGUUAGCAACGCUGCUAAGGGUGCAGAGCCACACAUGCGCUCAGAGCUCUGCAUGGGAGACUGAAGCUGACAGAGCUGCAGCCGUUAGCAGGUUUCACCCUCAGAGACCACCAGGGGUUCAUGUUGAGGCAUUUUAAAUUUUUUUUUUUUUGUGCCAUAGACACUGUCAGCACAAUCUGCAGUUACACUAACAAAAAUGCUGCAAAAAACAAAGAAUUAUGGAAAAAUUACACAUGGACUGACAUAGAGGAGGAUCUACACAAGUUUUUUACAUCAUGUUUUACAUCAUGCAUCAUUUACAUCAUGUUUUUUUGUAGUGGCAUAAAUAAAAAGUGACAUUUGUGAGACUAUACAGUGUUUUGUAAAUAAUUUUACAAAGAACGCCUGGGCCAUUGCCUGCAUUUUGAUGAAAAUAGAGGUAAAUCACUAUGUUCUUUGUUAAAAAUUUGCAUAUGUUUUGAAGUUUACAAUUUUUAUUUGAAGUUUAAGUUUUAAAAACAGUUCAUCACACAUAUUUGUGGUUUUCACAGUAAAAAUGUUACUUUUUUCCACUCGGAUUUUAUGUUUUGUGUGUGAAUUUGGGUCCAUUGUGUAAAUUCAGUAUGUCAACAUGAUAAAAUAACUGUAAAUUCGCACAGGUGAGGUUGUGCUGAAAAAAUGAUACCAGGCAAGGCACGUGAUUGUCAAAUUUUGUGUCAAUAUGACAAAGCGUAUAGGCGUGAAUCUCAACAAUAUGUAUUUUCACCUUAGGGGACAAGAAAAAAUGGACUUUUUUCUCCUGCCAUGGGGGGGCGCUCUUUUGGGGAGUAAAAAUUCCUUCACAAAUGUGUUGAUGGCUGGACAUUGCAUCAUCCUAGAAAACUAAAAAACUUGGAGGCCAGUGAGGACAAAAAUAAAAAGUUAUAAGACUUUUAAAUAUGUGGAUUUUAGGGUUAUCUUUGGCGCCCCCUAGAACCUAAACCGUGGGGUGCAGCGUCAUGAUUUGAAUAACUUUUAAUGGCCAUGGGGUGUAGAUUGUCCUGAGCAAAUGUGGUGCCGGUGGAACGAAAGCCUUAGGAGGAGUUAGCCACAUUCCAAUGUGUGCGGAUCGGCAAAAAAUGCGGAAUAACCCUUUAACCGUACAUUUGACAGAUACGCGCGCAUUGACUUUUUCGUAGAUCUUAUUGAGUUACAUGUGUGUGUCAAUUUUUGUGUCAUUUUGACAAAGCGUAUAGGCGUGACACUCAACAAUGUGUAUUUUCACCUUAGGGGACAAGAAAAAAUGGACUUUUUUCUCCUGCCAUGGGGGGGCGCUCUUUUGGGGAGUAAAAAUUCCUUCACAAAUGUGUUGAUGGCUGGACAUUGCAUCAUCCUAGAAAACUUGGAGGCCAGUGAGGACAAAAAUAAAAAGUUAUAAGACUUUUAAAUAUGUGGAUUUUAGUGUUAUCUUUGGCGCCCCCUAGAACCUAAACCUUGGGGUGCAGCGUCAUGAUUUUGAUAACUUUUAAUGGCCACGGGGUGUAGAUUGGCCUGAGCAAAUGUGGUGCCGGUGGAACGAAAGCCUUCGGAGGAGUUAGCGAAAUUCCAAUGUGUGCGGAUCGGCAAAAAAUGCGAAAUAACCCUUUGACCGUACAUUUGACAGAUACGGCCGCAUUGACUUUUUCGUAGAUCUUAUUGAGAUACAUAUGUGUGUCAAUUUUUGUGUCAUUUUGACAAAGCGUAUAGGCGUGACACUCAACAAUGUGUAUUUUCACCUUAGGGGACAAGAAAAAAUGGACUUUUUUCUCCUGCCAUGGGGGGCGCUCUUUUGGGGAGUAAAAAUUCCUUCACAAAUGUGUUGAUGGCUGGACAUUGCAUCAUCCUAGAAAACUUGGAGGCCAGUGAGGACAAAAAUAAAAAGUUAUAAGACUUUUAAAUAUGUGGAUUUUAGUGUUAUCUUUGGCGCCCCCUAGAACCUAAACCUUGGGGUGCAGCGUCAUGAUUUUGAUAACUUUUAAUGGCCACGGGGUGUAGAUUGGCCUGAGCAAAUGUGGUGCCGGUGGAACGAAAGCCUUCGGAGGAGUUAGCGAAAUUCCAAUGUGUGCGGAUCGGCAAAAAAUGCGAAAUAACCCUUUGACCGUACAUUUGACAGAUACGGCCGCACUGACUUUUUUGUAGAUCUUAUUGAGAUACAUAUGUGUGUCAAUUUUUGUGUCAAUAUGACAAAGCGUACAGGCGUGACAGUCAAUAGUGUGAAUUUCCACCUUAGGGGGCGCUAUGGAGCCAUUUUGCAUUUUAUUGUUUGGGCGACUUCAGAAUAUCGAAUUUUUCACCAGGCCCGGUCGUCCUGCCAAAUUUCAUGAGUUUUCGCCAGUGGGAAGUGGGCCAUUUUCCAGUUCAAAGGGGAGGAAAAAGAAGAAAGAAAGAAAGAAAGAAAGAAAGAAACAAAGAAAAACCACUUGGGGAAUAAUAGGGCCUACGCCCGGCUGCUCUGCAGCUGGCUCGGGCCCUAAAGAAAGAAAGAAACAAAGAACUAGGGCCCCGUUGGGGCACUGGCGGGCCCGAGCCGCGUCGCGCCGCCCCCAGCGUGACCGCCUCCCUGAUCCAUUAGGUUUAAAUAGAAAAAGCAUUAAAAUAUGUUAGGAUUAUAGCAUAUGACAAAUGUGUGCCUCUCAGUGGCCAUAACUACUUUGUCUGCUGGCUCUGCAGUCGAUUGACGCUCCCCAGCGUUCAAGUCACAUGACAAAUUUAACCGGAUGUAGCUGCAAGACGGAGCCUCGUUGACUCUCCGUUUCAACUUAUCUCCAAAGUGAGGACCUUAAACUAUAUACCAGUUUUUAAAUUGUGUUGAUAGGCCAAAUAAAACCAGAGUUAUGAUAAAUUAUGUCUGCGAUACUUUUUUUCUGCUUAUUUUGAUCACGUUCGGCGCUCGAUCGCGCUGUAUGAGACAGGAAAACAUAGCAUGCAGACAUUAGCGACAGCUCUUACAGGCGGAAAAGGCUUGCCAAAAGAAAAAAAAAAAACACACCACAACAUCUCUCCUAUUGGUGGAAAACUUCACCACAACAACCAAUCCAAAAUUAUAUGGUGACUGAUUGACAAGGGGCGGGCGCUUACGUUCAUCCUGCAACAUGAGAAGCGAGGGAGGGACUCUCAGCAGGGAUGCAGUCUGGGACACGUAGUUGCAAACCUAGCGACUUUGUUGUUAGAUUCAAUGACUUUUCAGACCCCCCUUACGACUUUUUUUUUAGAAAGAAAGGGAAUUUUAUCGACUUCUUCUGGAGUUUAGAGACUCUGAAAUGAAGCAGGCUUUCCUUACUGAGGAGUUGGCAACGCUGCUAAGGGUGCAGAGCCACACAUGCGCUCCGAGCUCUGCAUGGGAGACUGAAGCUGACAGAGCUGCAGCAGUUAGCAGGUUUCACCCUCAGAGACCACCAGGGGUUCAUGUUGAGGCAUUUUCAGUUUUUUUUUUUUUUUUUGUGCCAUAGACACUGUCAGCACAAUCUGCAGCUACACUAACAAAAAUGCUGCAAAAAACAAAGAAUUAUGGAAAAAUUACACAUGGACUGACAUAGAGGAGGAUCUACACAAGUUUUUUACAUCAUGUUUUACAUCAUGCAUCAUUUACAUCAUGUUUUUUUGUAGUGGCAUAAAUAAAAAGUGACAUUUGUGAGACUAUACAGUGUUUUGUAAAUAAUUUUACAAAGAACGCCUGGGCCAUUGCCUGCAUUUUGAUGUAAAUAGAGGUAAAUCACUAUGUUCUUUGUUAAAAAUUUGCAUAUGUUUUGAAGUUUACAAUUUUUAUUUGAAGUUUAAGUUUUAAAAACAGUUCAUCACACAUAUUUGUGGUUUUCACAGUAAAAAUGUUACUUUUUUCCACUCGGAUUUUAUGUUUUGUGUGUGAAUUUGGGUCCAUUGUGUAAAUUCAGUAUGUCAACAUGAUAAAAUAACUGUAAAUUCGCACAGGUGAGGUUGUGCUGAAAAAAAUGAUACCAGGCAAGGCACGUGAUUGUCAAAUUUUGUGUCAAUAUGACAAAGCGUAUAGGCGUGAAUCUCAACAAUAUGUAUUUUCACCUUAGGGGAAAAGAAAAAAUGGACUUUUUUCUCCUGCCAUGGGGGGGCGCUCUUUUGGGGAGUAAAAAUUCCUUCACAAAUGUGUUGAUGGCUGGACAUUGCAUCAUCCUAGAAAACUUGGAGGCCAGUGAGGACAAAAAUAAAAAGUUAUAAGACUUUUAAAUAUGUGGAUUUUAGGGUUAUCUUUGGCGCCCCCUAGAACCUAAACCGUGGGGUGCAGCGUCAUGAUUUAAAUAACUUUUAAUGGCCAUGGGGUGUAGAUUGGCCUGAGCAAAUGUGGUGCCGGUGGAACGAAAGCCUUAGGAGGAGUUAGCCACAUUCCAAUGUGUGCGGAUCGGCAAAAAAUGCGGAAUAACCCUUUAACCGUACAUUUGACAGAUACGCGCGCGUUGACUUUUUCGUAGAUCUUAUUGAGUUACAUGUGUGUGUCAAUUUUUGUGUCAUUUUGACAAAGCGUAUAGGCGUGACACUCAACAAUGUGUAUUUUCACCUUAGGGGACAAGAAAAAAUGGACUUUUUUCUCCUGCCAUGGGGGGGGCGCUCUUUUGGGGAGUAAAAAUUCCUUCACAAAUGUGUUGAUGGCUGGACAUUGCAUCAUCCUAGAAAACUUGGAGGCCAGGGAGGACAAAAAUAAAAAGUUAUAAGACUUUUAAAUAUGUGGAUUUUAGUGUUAUCUUUGGCGCCCCCUAGAACCUAAACCUUGGGGUGCAGCGUCAUGAUUUUGAUAACUUUUAAUGGCCAAGGGGUGUAGAUUGGCCUGAGCAAAUGUGGUGCCGGUGGAACGAAAGCCUUCGGAGGAGUUAGCGAAAUUCCAAUGUGUGCGGAUCGGCAAAAAAUGCGAAAUAACCCUUCAACCGUAAUUUUGACAGAUACGGCCGCACUGACUUUUUUGUAGAUCUUAUUGAGAUAGAUAUGUGUGUCAAUUUUUGUGUCAAUAUGACAAAGCGUACAGGCGUGACAGUCAAUAGUGUGAAUUUCCACCUUAGGGGGCGCUAUGGAGCCAUUUUACAUUUUAUUGUUUGGGCGACUUCAGAAUAUCGAAUUUUUCACCAGGCCCGGUCGUCCUGCCAAAUUUUAUGAGUUUUCGCCAGUGGGAAGUGGGCCAUUUUCCAGUUCAAAGGGGAGGAAAAAGAAGAAAGAAAGAAAGAACUAGGGCCCCGUUGGGGCACUGGCGGGCCCGAGCCGUGUCACGCCGCCCCCAGCGCGACCGCCUCCCCCACCCGAUCGCGUCACACUCAAGGUCCAAAGAUGGUGUGCGCACUUGUUUGUGGUCAUUUACCAUUAUAAUGAACGGGAGGCGCAGUUUCUACCAAAACGCUCGCUGCAGAAAAACUCCAUGUCCUAUUUGAAAAAAGUCUGGACCAUGAGUGAGGGCACAAACACAGCUAAGAUAUAUCCAAAUGGCAAGUUGCUCCUCCUUUCGCUUUUGCCGAAAGAGCAGUGCGUUUGAGCCAUUGAAUGAUGAACAGGAAAAACUUGACUUUAUUCUCCUGGCCAUGGGGGGGCGCUCUUUUAAAGAGAAAAAACUCCUUCACAAAUGUGUUGAUGGCUGGACAUUGCAUCAUCCUAGAAAACAUGGAGGCCAGUGAGGACAAAAAUAAAAAGUUAUAAGACUUUUAAAUAUGUGGAUUUUAGGGUUAUAUUUGGCGCCCCCUAGAACCUAAACCGUGGGGUGCAGCGUCAUGAUUUGAAUAACUUUUAAUGGCCAUGGGGUGUAGAUUGGCCUGAGCAAAUGUGGUGCCGGUGGAACGAAAGCCUUCGGAGGAAUUAGCGAAAUUCCAAUGUGUGCGAAUCUGCAAAAAAUGCGAAAUAACCCUUUAACCGUACAUUUUACAGAUACGUGGCCAUUGACUUUUUCGAAGAUCUUAUUGAAAUACACGUGUAUGUAAAAUUUUGUGUCAAUACGACAAAACAUAAAGGCGUAGCACUCAACAAUGUGUAUUUUCACCUUAGUGGACAAGAAAAAAUUGACUUUUUUCUCCUGCCAUGGGGGGGCGCUCUUUUGCCGAGUAAAAAUUCCUUCACAAAUGUGUUGAUGGCUGGACAUUGCAUCAUCCUAGAAAACUUGGAGGCCAGUGAGGGCAAAAAUAAAAAGUUAUAAGACUUUUAAAUAUGUGGAUCUUAGGGUUAUCUUUGGCUCCCCCUAGAACCUAAACCGUGGGGUGCAGCGUCAUGAUUUGAAUAACUUUUAAUGGCCAUGGGGUGUAGAUUGGCCUGAGCAAAUGUGGUGCCGGUGGAACGAAAGCCUUCGGAGGAGUUAGCGAAAUUCCAAUGUGUGCGGAUCGGCAAAAAAUGCGGAAUAACCCUUUAACCGUACAUUUGACAGAUACGCGCGCAUUGACUUUUUCGUAGAUCUUAUUGAGAUACAUGUGUGUGUCAAUUUUUGUGUCAUUUUGCCAAAGCGUACAGGUGUUACACUCAACAAUGUGUAUUUUCACCUUAGGGGACAAGAAAAAAUGGACUUUUUUCUCCUGCCAUGGGGGGGCGCUCUUUUGGGGAGUAAAAAUUCCUUCACAAAUGUGUUGAUGGCUGGACAUUGCAUCAUCCUAGAAAACUUGGAGGCCAGUGAGGGCAAAAAUAAAAAGUUAUAAGACUUUUAAAUAUGUGGAUCUUAGGGUUAUCUUUGGCGCCCCCUAGAACCUAAACCGUGGGGUGCAGCGUCAUGAUUUGAAUAACUUUUAAUGGCCAUGGGGUGUAGAUUGGCCUGAGCAAAUGUGGUGCCGGUGGAACGAAAGCCUUCGGAGGAGUUAGCGAAAUUCCAAUGUGUGCGGAUCGGCAAAAAAUGCCAAAUAACCCUUUAACCGUACAUUUGACAGAUACGCCCGCACUGACUUUUUUGUAGAUCUUAUUGAGAUACAUGUGUGUGUCAAUUUUUGUGUCAUUUUGACAAAGCGUACAGGCGUGACAGUGAAUAGUGUGAAUUUUCACCUUAGGGGGCGCUAUGGAGCCAUUUUGCAUUUUCUUGUUUGGGCGACUUCGGAAUAUCAAAUUUUUCACCAGGCCCGGUCGUCCUGCCAAAUUUCAUGAGUUUUCGCCAGUGGGAAGUGGGCCAUUUUCCAGUUCAAAGGGGAGGAAAAAUAAUAAUAAUAAUAACAAAAGAAGGAAACUACAGGAACAAGAGGGCUCUCGCAGCUGCUUAGCAGCUACGCUCGGGCCCUAACUAGGGCCCCGUUGGGGCACUGGCGGGCCCGAGCCGCGUCGCGCCGCCCCCAGCGCGACCGCCUCCCCGUCCCAUUCGUGCCCUCUGGCCAUCGCCCUCUCUGGUGACGCCCAUCACUGCAAAGACCCUUUUCCUUCAUCUGUGUUUGCUGUUCUUCCUGCCAUUGCGUGUUGCUUUCACUUACACUUGCCACAGCCAGCCUCGUGAGUGCCUGGCCUGGUUUGACCUUUGCUCACCAUGAUUGUGUGACCUUGGUAUCAGCUACUUGGGAAGUUCAACCGUUGUGGCAAAGCUUUGUUUGCGUGCUGUGCUCAACCACCUAUUUUCUAUGGAUGUGUAAGUAAACCACUUUCUUUCUUACACAAUGACACACUCAUACUUAUCACUCACUGCUACUGAUGUGCUCUGUUAGUAUGCAUGCAGGAAACCUGAUGAAUGAAGAAAUGCCCAGACUAGCCAACAUCUCAAUAAAUUAUGAGGUAUGACAUCACUUGAAUGGUUUCCUUGGACUAUGCUUCCAUUAUUCUAAUUCUGUAAUAAAAAGAAAUUUUGUCCAAAAGGACUGUUGUUGUUUUUUCUUCUAAUAAUUAACAUAUUUAACAUAAUUAACAUUCAAUAUGCGCUCAUUACACACGUGCACACUCUUUGAUGAUCUGAGAAGCAGAGCUUAAAGGACAGUAGGAGUAGCUGAACAAAGUGUAUUUGUAGGAAAGCCGUAAGAGCUAUUGAAACGCCGUUUUCGCGGGUUGAAAGGUUAGGGUGUCCACCAAAGGUCAGAGGUCAAAUAACAUUUGUAUCUCAAACUGUGACGUCAAAGUCAAGGUCCAAAGAUGGUGUGCGCACCUGUCUUUGGUCAUUUCCCAUUAUAAUGAAUGGGAGGCACAGUUUCUACCAAAACGCUCGCUGCAGACAAACUACAUGUCCUAUUUGAAAAAACUCUGGACCAUGAGUGAGGGCACAAACACAGCUAGGACAUAUCCAAAUGGCAAGUUGCUCCUCCUUUUGGUUUUAGCGGGAGAGCAAUGCGUUUGAGCCAUUAAGCGAUGGGCUGGAAAAACUUGACUUUUUCUCCUGCCAUGGGGGGGGGGGGGGCGCUCUUUUGGGGAGAAAAAAUUCCUUCACAGAUGUGUUGAUGGCUGCACAUUGCAUCAUCCUAGAAAACUUGGAGGCCAGUGAGGACAAAAAUAAAAAGUUAUAAGACUUUUAAAAAUGUGGAUAUUUGGGUCAUCUUUGGCGCCCCCUAGAACCUAAACCGUGGGGUGCAGCGUCAUGAUUUGUACAACUUUGAAUGGCCAUGGGGUGUAGAUUGGCCUGAGCAAAUUUGGUGUCAGUAGAACGAAAGCCUUAGGAGGAGUUAGCCACAUUCCAAUGUGUGCGAAUCGGCAAAAAAUGCAAGAUAGCCCUUUAACCGUACAUUUUACAGAUAUGUGCCCAUUGACUUUUUCGUAGAUCUUAUUGAGAUACACGUGUGUGUCAAAUUUUGUGUCAAUAUGACAAAGCGUAUAGGCGUGACACUGAACAAUGUGUAUUUUCACCUUAGGGGACAAGAAAAAAUGGACUUUUUUCUCCUGCCAUGUGGGGGCGCUCUUUAGGGGAGUAAAAAUUCCUUUACAAAUGUGUUGAUGGCUGGACAUUGCAUCAUCCUAGAAAACUUGGAGGCCAGUGAGGAAAAAAAUAAAAAGUUAUAAGACUUUUAAGAAUGUGGAUUUUUUGGUUAUCUUUGGCGCCCCCUAGAACCUAAACCGUGGGGUGCAGCGUCAUGAUUUGUACAACUUUCGAUGGCCAUGGGGUGUAGAUUGGCCUGAGCAAAUGUGGUGCCGGUGGAACGAAAGCCUUCGGAGGAGUUAGCGAAAUUUCAAUGUGUGCGGAUCGGCAAAAAAUGCGAAAUAACCCUUUAACCGUACAUUUGACAGAUACGCCCGCACUGACUUUUUUGUAGAUCUUAUUGAGAUACAUGUGUGUGUCAAUUUUUAUGUCAAUAUGACAAAGCGUACAGGCGUGACAGUCAACAGUGUGAAUUUCCACCUUAGGGGGCGCUAUGGAGCCAUUUUGCAUUUUAUUGUUUGGGCGACUUCAGAAUAUCGAAUUUUUCACCAGGCCCGGUCGUCCUGCCAAAUUUCAUGAGUUUUCGCCAGUGGGAAGUGGGCCAUUUUCCAGUUUAAAGCGGAGGAAAAAUAAUAAUAAUAAUAAUAACUAGGGCCCCGUUGGGGCACUGGCGGGCCCGAGCCGUGUCGCGCCGCCCCCAGCGCGACCGCCUACCCCUCUUGAUCGCGUCACACUCAAGGUCCAAAGAUGGUGUGCGCACUUGUCUGUGGUCAUUUACCAUUAUAAUGAAUGGGAGGCGCAGUUUCUACCAAAACGCUCGCUGCAGACAAACUCCAUGUCCUUUUUGAAAAAAGUCUGGACCAUGAGCGAGGGCACAAACACAGCUAGUAUAUAUCCAAAUGGCAAGUUGCUCCUCCUUUCGGUUUUGCCGAGAGAGCGAUGCUUUUGAGCCAUUGAGCGAUGGGCAGGAAAAACUUGACUUUUUCUCCUGCCAUGGGGGGGCGCUCUUUUGGGGAGAAAAAAUUCCUUCACAAAUGUGUUGAUGGCUGGACAUUGCAUCAUCCUAGAAAACUUGGAGGCCAGUGAGGACAAAAAUAAAAAGUUAUAAGACUUUUAAAAAUGUGGAUAUUUGGGUCGUCUUUGGCACCCCCUAGAACGUAAACCGUGGGGUGCAGCGUCAUGAUUUGUACAACUUUGAAUGGCCAUGGGGUGUAGAUUGACCUGAGCAAAUUUGAAGCCGAUGGGACAAAAGCUUUAGGAGGAGUUAGCCACAUUCCAAUGUGUGCGAAUCGGCAAAAAAUGCAAAAUAGCCCUUUAACCGUACAUUGAACAGAUACGCUCGCAUUGACUUUUUCGUAGAUCUUAUUGAGAUACAUGUGUGUGUCAAAUUUUGUGUCAUUUUGACAAAGCGUAAAGGCGUGACAAUCAACAAUGUGUAUUUUCGCCUUAGGAGACAAGAAAAAAUGGACUUUUUUCUCCUGCCAUGGGGGGGCGCUCUUUUGGCGAGUAAAAAUUCCUUCACAAAUGUGUUGAUGGCUGGACAUUGCAUCAUCCUAGAGAACUUGGAGGCCAGUGAGGACAAAAAUAAAAAGUUAUAAGACUUUUAAGACUGUGGAUUUUUGGGUUAUCUUUGGCGCCCCCUAGAACGUAAACCGUGGGGUGCAGUGUCAUGAUUUGUACAACUUUUAAUGGCCAUGGGGUGUAGAUUGGCCUGAGCAAAUGUGGUGCCGUUGGAACGAAAGCCUUCAGAGGAGUUAGCGAAAUUCCAAUGUGUGCGGAUCGGCAAAAAAUGCGAAAUAACCCUUUAACCGUACAUGUGACAGAUACGCCCGCACUGACUUUUUUGUAGAUCUUAUUGAGAUACAUGUGUGUGUCAAAUUUUGUGUCAUUUUGACAAAGCGUAAAGGCGUGACAGUCAACGAUGUGUAUUUUCGCCUUAGGAGACAAGAAAAAAUGGACAUUUUUCUCCUGCCAUGGGGGGGCGCUCUUUUGGCGAGUAAAAAUUCCUUCACAAAUGUGUUGAUGGCUGGACAUUGCAUCAUCCUAGAGAACUUGGAGGCCAGUGAGGACAAAAAUAAAAAGUUAUAAGACUUUUAAGACUGUGGAUUUUUGGGUUAUCUUUGGCGCCCCCUAGAACGUAAACCGUGGGGUGCAGCGUCAUGAUUUGUACAACUUUUAUUGGCCAUGGGGUGUAGAUUGGCCUGAGCAAAUGUGGUGCCGGUGGAAGGAAAACCUUCGGAGGAGUUAGCGAAAUUCCAAUGUGUGCGGAUCGGCAAAAAAUGCGAAAUAAACCUUUAACCGUACAUUUGACAGAUACGCCCGCACUGACUUUUUUGUAGAUCUUAUUGAGAUACACGUGUGUGUCAAAUUUUGUGUCAUUUUGACAAAGCGUACAGGCGUGACACUCAAUCAUGUGAAUUUUUCACCUUAGGGGGCGCUAUGGAGCCAUUUUGCAUUUGAUUUUUUGGGCGACUUCAGAAUAUCGAAUUUUUCACCAGGCCCGGUCGUCCUGCCAAAUUUCAUGACUUUUCACCAGUGGGAAGUGGGCCAUUUUCCAGUUCAAAGGGGCAGAAAAAUAAUAAGAAGAAGAAGAAGAAGAAAGAAGAAUCCAUCAGGAAUAAUAGGGCUCUCGCAGCUGCUUAGCAGCUACGCUCGGGCCCUAAUAACAAAAGAAGAAUCCAUCAGGAACAAGAGGGCUCUCGCAGCUGCUUAGCAGCUACGCUCGGGCCCUAACUAGGGCCCCGUUGGGGCACUGGCGGGCCCGAGCCGUGUCGCACCCCCCCCCCCCCCAACGCGCUGCCUCCCCGUCCCAUUCGUGUCCUCUGGCCAUCGCCCUCUCUGGUAACGCCCAUCACUGCAAAGACCCUUUUCCUUCAUCGGCGUUUGCUGUUCUUCCUGCCAGUGCGUGUUGCUUUAACUUACACUUGCCACAGCCAGCCUCGUGAGUGCCUAGCCUAUUGGAUAUCACUGUCACCUACACAGGACAGUCAUACUUUGUUUUUUAAUUUCACAUUAAUUUCCAUAUUGUAUAAACGACUGGAAAAAACUUGAGCCCCUGCCCCUGUAUUAUCAUGUGCACGUCCCUGUUCUAGCUCCAAGGUGAAUCUUCAGUGCUCAUGUUCUCCUCAGAAGCAGUCACCUCACUCCCCUCAGGUUACUGUACACAUGCACCAACUGCCUGCUUCAGGUUUGGAUGGAGCUUCAUGGUUGUCUUUUGGAGAAAUGACCAGUCAAGUUGUGUUUGAAAUCUGAUUUUUUUCAGGGGCAAAAGGAAGCCUCCGCAUUCUUGUCAAAUAUGUAAAUAGCAUGUUUUUGCAGGUGCUAAAAAACAGACUCUGAGUGUGUGUGUGUGUGUGUGUGUGUGUGUGUGUGUGUGUGUGUGUGUGUGUGCGUGUGUGUGUGUGUGUGUCUGUGUGUGUGUGUGUGUGUGUAUCCUGCAGUACUCUGAGAAGAAUAAUAAGCAUAUUUCUGAGGUGAAUUUUGAAGAUUCAUCUGAGAGUUAGGUUUGAUUCGAUUCGAUUGACGCUCCCCAGCGUUCAAGUCACAUGACAUAUUUAACCGGAUGUAGCUGCAAGACGGAGCCUCGUUAACUCUCCGUUUCAACUUAUCUCAAAAGUGAGGACCUCAACCUAUAUACCAGUUUUUAAAUUGUGUUGAUAGGCCAAAUAAAACCAGAGUUAUGAUAAAUUAUGUCCGCGAUACUUUUUUUCUGCUUAUUUUGAUCACGUUCGGCGCUCGAUCGUGCUGUAUGAGACAGGAAAACAUUGCAUGCACACAUUAGUGACAGGUCAUACAGGCGGAAAAGGCUUGCCAAAAGAAAAAAAAACACACCACAACAUCUCUCCUAUUGGUGGAAAACUUCACCACAACAACCAAUCCAAAAUUAUAUGGUGACUGAUUGACAAGGGGCGGGCGCUUACGUUCUUCCUGCAACAUGAGAAGGGAGGGAGGGACUCUCAGCAGGGAUGCAGUCUGGGACACGUAGUUGCAAACCUAGCGACUUUGUUGUUAGAUUCAAUUACUUUUCAGACCCCCUAACGACUUUUUUUAGAAAGAAAGGGACUUUUAUCGACUUCUUCUGGAGUUUAGAGACUCUGACAUGAAGCAGGCUUUCCUUACUGAGGAGUUAGCAACGCUGCUAAGGGUGCAGAGCCACACAUGCGCUCCGAGCUCUGCAUGGGAGACAGAAGCUGACAGAGCUGCAGCAGUUAGCAGGUUUCACCCUCAGAGACCACCAGGGGUUCAUGUUGAGGCAUUUUCAGUUUUUUUUUUUUUGCCAUAGACAGUCAGCACAAUCUGCAGUUACACUAACAAAAAUGCUGCAAAAAACAAAGAAUUAUGGAAAAAUUACACAUGGACUGACAUAGAGGAGGAUCUACACAAGUUUUUUACAUCAUGUUUUACAUCAUGCAUCAUUUACAUCAUGUUUUUUUGUAGUGGCAUAAAUAAAAAGUGACAUUUGUGAGACUAUACAGUGUUUUGUAAAUAAUUUUACAAAGAACGCCUGGGCCAUUGCCUGCAUUUUGAUGUAAAUAGAGGUAAAUUACUAUGUUCUUUGUUAAAAAUUUGCAUAUGUUUUGAAGUUUACAAUUUUUAUUUGAAGUUUAAGUUUUAAAAACAGUUCAUCACACAUAUUUGUGGUUUAAUUUCACAUUAAUUUCCAUAUUGUAUAAAUGACUGGAAAAAACUUGAGCCCCUGCCCCUGUAUAAUCAUGUGCACGUCCCUGUUCUAGCUCCAAGGUGAAUCUUCACUGCUCAUGUUCUCCUCAGAAAUAGUCACCUCACUCUCCUCAGGUUACUGUACACAUGCACCAACUAUCUGCUUCAGGUUUGGAUGGAGCUUCAUGGUUGUCUUUUGGAGAAAUGAACAGUCAAGUUGUGUUUGAAAUCUGAUUUUUUUCAGGGGCAAAAGGAAGCCUCUGCAUUCUUGUCAAAUAUGUAAACAGCAUGUUUUUGCAGGUGCUAAAAAAAAGACUCUGAGUGUGUGUGUGUGUGUGUGUGUGUGUGUGUGUGUGUGUGUGUGUGUGUGUGUGUGUGUGUGUGUGUGUGUGUGUGUGUAUCCUGCAGUACUCUGUACUCCUGCAGUGGCCAAAAAGACUUUUAAGAAUGUGGAUUUUUGGGUCAUCUUUGGCGCCCCCUAGAACUGCAGUACUCUGUACUCCUGCAGUGGCCAAAAUGACUUUUAAGAAUGUGGAUUUUUGGGUCAUCUUUGGCGCCCCCUAGAACGUAAACCGUGGGGUGCAGCGUCAUGAUUUUUACAACUUUGAAUGGGCAUGGGGUGUAGAUUGGCCUGAGCAAAUUUGGUAUCGGUGGGACGAAAGCCUUAGGAGGAGAUAGCCACAUUCCAAUGUGUGCGAAUCAACCAAAAAUGCGAAAUAGCCCUUUAACCGUACAUUUUGCAGACACGUGCGCAUUGACUUUUUCGUAGAUCUUAUUGAGAUACACGUGAUUAUCAAAUUUUGUUUCAAUAUGACAAAGCGUACAGGCGUGACACUCAACAAUGUGUAUUUUCACCUUAUAGGACAAGAAAAAAUGGCCUUUUUUCUCCUGCCAUGGGGGGGCGCUCUUUUGGGGAGUAAAAAUUCCUUCACAAAUGUGUUGAUGGCUGGACAUUGCAUCAUCCUAGAAAACUUGGAGGCCAGUGAGGACAAAAAUAAAAAGUUAUAAGACUUGUAAGAAUGUGGAUUUUUGGGUUAUCUUUGGCGCCCCCUACAACGUAAACCGUGGGGUGCAGCGUCAUGAUUUGUACAACUUUGAAUGGCAAUGGGGUGUAGAUUGGCCUGAGCAAAUUUGGUGCCGGUGGAACGAAAGCCUUCGGAGGAGUUAGCGAAAUUCCAAUGUGUGCGGAUCGGCAAAAAAUGCGAAAUAGCCCUUUAAACGUACAUUUGACAGAUACGCCCGCACUGACUUUUUUGUAGAUCUUAUUGAGAUACACGUGUGUGUCAAAUUUUGUGUCAUUUUGACAAAGCGUACAGGCGUGACACUCAAUCAUGUGAAUUUUUCACCUUAGGGGGCGCUAUGGAGCCAUUUUGCAUUUGAUUGUUUGGGUGACUUCAGAAUAUCGAAUUUUUCACCAGGCCCGGUCGUCCUGCCAAAUUUCAUGAGUUUUCACCAGUGGGAAGUGGGCCAUUUUCCAGUUCAAAGGGGCAGAAAAAUAACUAGGGCCCCGUUGGGGCACUGGCGGGCCCGAGCCGUGUCGCGCCGCCCCCAGCGCGACCGCCUACCCCUCUUGAUCGCGUCACACUCAAGGUCCAAAGAUGGUGUGCGCACUUGUCUGUGGUCAUUUACCAUUAUAAUGAAUGGGAGGCGCAGUUUCUACCAAAACGCUCGCUGCAGACAAACUCCAUGUCCUUUUUGAAAAAAGUCUGGACCAUGAGCGAGGGCACAAACACAGCUAGUAUAUAUCCAAAUGGCAAGUUGCUCCUCCUUUCGGUUUUGCCGAGAGAGCGAUGCUUUUGAGCCAUUGAGCGAUGGGCAGGAAAAACUUGACUUUUUCUCCUGCCAUGGGGGGCGCUCUUUUGGGGAGAAAAAUUCCUUCACAAAUGUGUUGAUGGCUGGACAUUGCAUCAUCCUAGAAAACUUGGAGGCCAGUGAGGACAAAAAUAAAAAGUUAUAAGACUUUUAAAAAUGUGGAUAUUUGGGUCGUCUUUGGCACCCCCUAGAACGUAAACCGUGGGGUGCAGCGUCAUGAUUUGUACAACUUUGAAUGGCCAUGGGGUGUAGAUUGACCUGAGCAAAUUUGAAGCCGAUGGGACAAAAGCUUUAGGAGGAGUUAGCCACAUUCCAAUGUGUGCGAAUCGGCAAAAAAUGCAAAAUAGCCCUUUAACCGUACAUUGAACAGAUACGCUCGCAUUGACUUUUUCGUAGAUCUUAUUGAGAUACAUGUGUGUGUCAAAUUUUGUGUCAUUUUGACAAAGCGUAAAGGCGUGACAAUCAACAAUGUGUAUUUUCGCCUUAGGAGACAAGAAAAAAUGGACUUUUUUCUCCUGCCAUGGGGGGGCGCUCUUUUGGCGAGUAAAAAUUCCUUCACAAAUGUGUUGAUGGCUGGACAUUGCAUCAUCCUAGAGAACUUGGAGGCCAGUGAGGACAAAAAUAAAAAGUUAUAAGACUUUUAAGACUGUGGAUUUUUGGGUUAUCUUUGGCGCCCCCUAGAACGUAAACCGUGGGGUGCAGUGUCAUGAUUUGUACAACUUUUAAUGGCCAUGGGGUGUAGAUUGGCCUGAGCAAAUGUGGUGCCGUUGGAACGAAAGCCUUCAGAGGAGUUAGCGAAAUUCCAAUGUGUGCGGAUCGGCAAAAAAUGCGAAAUAACCCUUUAACCGUACAUGUGACAGAUACGCCCGCACUGACUUUUUUGUAGAUCUUAUUGAGAUACAUGUGUGUGUCAAAUUUUGUGUCAUUUUGACAAAGCGUAAAGGCGUGACAGUCAACGAUGUGUAUUUUCGCCUUAGGAGACAAGAAAAAAUGGACAUUUUUCUCCUGCCAUGGGGGGGCGCUCUUUUGGCGAGUAAAAAUUCCUUCACAAAUGUGUUGAUGGCUGGACAUUGCAUCAUCCUAGAGAACUUGGAGGCCAGUGAGGACAAAAAUAAAAAGUUAUAAGACUUUUAAGACUGUGGAUUUUUGGGUUAUCUUUGGCGCCCCCUAGAACGUAAACCGUGGGGUGCAGCGUCAUGAUUUGUACAACUUUUAUUGGCCAUGGGGUGUAGAUUGGCCUGAGCAAAUGUGGUGCCGGUGGAAGGAAAACCUUCGGAGGAGUUAGCGAAAUUCCAAUGUGUGCGGAUCGGCAAAAAAUGCGAAAUAAACCUUUAACCGUACAUUUGACAGAUACGCCCGCACUGACUUUUUUGUAGAUCUUAUUGAGAUACACGUGUGUGUCAAAUUUUGUGUCAUUUUGACAAAGCGUACAGGCGUGACACUCAAUCAUGUGAAUUUUUCACCUUAGGGGGCGCUAUGGAGCCAUUUUGCAUUUGAUUUUUUGGGCGACUUCAGAAUAUCGAAUUUUUCACCAGGCCCGGUCGUCCUGCCAAAUUUCAUGACUUUUCACCAGUGGGAAGUGGGCCAUUUUCCAGUUCAAAGGGGCAGAAAAAUAAUAAGAAGAAGAAGAAGAAGAAAGAAGAAUCCAUCAGGAAUAAUAGGGCUCUCGCAGCUGCUUAGCAGCUACGCUCGGGCCCUAACUAGGACCCCGUUGGGGCACUGGCGGGCCCGAGCCGUGUCGCGUCCCCCCCCCCCCCCCCCCCAACGUGCUGCCUUCCCGUCCCAUUUGUGUCCUCUGGCCAUCGCCCUCUCUGGUAACGCCCAUCACUGCAAAGACCCUUUUCCUUCAUCGGCGUUUGCUGUUCUUCCUGCCAGUGCGUGUUGCUUUCACUUACACUUGCCACAGCCAGCCUCGUGAGUGCCUAGCCUAUUGGAUAUCACUGUCACCUACACAGGACAGUCAUUACCUUUCUAUUAAUACUUUGUGUUUUAAUUUCACAUUAAUUUCCAUAUUGUAUAAACGACUGGAAAAAACUUGAGCCCCUGCCCCUGUAUAAUCAUGUGCAUGUCUCUGUUCUAGCUCCAAGGUGAAUCUUCACUGCUCAUGUUCUCCUCAGAAGCAGUCACCUCACUCCCCUCAGGGUACUGUACACAUGCACCAACUGCCUGCUUCAGGUUUGGAUGGAGCUUCAUGGUUGUCUUUUGGAGAAAUGACCAGUCAAGUUGUGUUUGAAAUUUGAUUUUUUUCAGGGGCAAAAGGAGCCUCUGCAUUCUUGUCAAAUAUGUAAAUAGCAUGUUUUUGCAGGUGCUAAAAACCAGACUCUGAGUGUGUGUGUGUGUGUGUGUGUGCGUGUGUGUGUGUGUGUGUGUGUGUGUGUGUGUGUGCGUGUGUGUGUGUCUAUGUGUGCGUUCAAGUCACAUGACAUAUUUAACCGGAUGUAGCUGCAAGACGGAGCCUUGUUGACUCUCCGUUUCAACUUAUCUCAAAAGUGAGGACCUCAACCUAUAUACCAGUUUUUAAAUUGUGUUGAUAGGCCAAAUAAAACCAGAGUUAUGAUAAAUUAUGUCCGCGAUACUUUUUUUCUGCUUAUUUUGAUCACGUUCGGCGCUCGAUCGCGCUGUAUGAGACAGGAAAACAUAGCAUGCAGACAUUAGCGACAGGUCUUACAGGCGGAAAAGGCUUGCCAAAAGAAAAAAAAAACACACCACAACAUCUCUCCUAUUGGUGGAAAACUUCACCACAACAACCAAUCCAAAAUUAUAUGGUGACUGAUUGACAAGGGGCGGGCGCUUACGUUCUUCCUGCAACAUGAGAAGGGAGGGAGGGACUCUCAGCAGGGAUGCAGUCUGGGACACGUAGUUGCAAACCUAGCGACUUUGUUGUUAGAUUCAAUGACUUUUCAGACACCCUAACGACUUUUUUUUAGAAAGAAAGGGACUUUUAUCGACUUCUUCUGGAGUUUAGAGACUCUGACAUGAAGCAGGCUUUCCUUACUGAGGAGUUAGCAACGCUGCUAAGGGUGCAGAGCCACACAUGCGCUCAGAGCUCUGCAUGGGAGACUGAAGCUGACAGAGCUGCAGCAGUUAGCAGGUUUCACCCUCAGAGACCACCAGGGGUUCAUGUUGAGGCAUUUUAAUUUUUUUUUUUUUUUUGUGCCAUAGACACUGUCAGCACAAUCUGCAGUUACACUAACAAAAAUGCUGCAAAAAACAAAGAAUUAUGGAAAAAUUACACAUGGACUGACAUAGAGGAGGAUCUACACAAGUUUUUUACAUCAUGUUUUACAUCAUGCAUCAUUUACAUCAUGUUUUUUUGUAGUGGCAUAAAUAAAAAGUGACAUUUGUGAGACUAUACAGUGUUUUGUAAAUAAUUUUACAAAGAACGCCUGGGCCAUUGCCUGCAUUUUGAUGUAAAUAGAGGUAAAUCACUAUGUUCUUUGUUAAAAAUUUGCAUAUGUUUUGAAGUUUACAAUUUUUAUUUGAAGUUUAAGUUUUGAAAACAGUUCAUCACACAUAUUUGUGGUUUUCACAGUAAAAAUGUUACUUUUUUCCACUCGGAUUUUAUGUUUUGUGUGUGAAUUUGGGUCCAUUGUGUAAAUUCAGUAUGUCAACAUGAUAAAAUAACUGUAAAUUCGCACAGGUGAGGUUGUGCUGAAAAAAAUGAUACCAGGCAAGGCACGUGAUUGUCAAAUUUUGUGUCAAUAUGACAAAGCGUAUAGGCGUGAAUCUCAACAAUAUGUAUUUUCACCUUAGGGGACAAGAAAAAAUGGACUUUUUUCUCCUGCCAUGGGGGGGCGCUCUUUUGGGGAGUAAAAAUUCCUUCACAAAUGUGUUGAUGGCUGGACAUUGCAUCAUCCUAGAAAACUUGGAGGCCAGUGAGGACAAAAAUAAAAAGUUAUAAGACUUUUAAAUAUGUGGAUUUUAGGGUUAUCUUUGGCGCCCCCUAGAACCUAAACCGUGGGGUGCAGCGUCAAGAUUUUGAUAACUUUUAAUGGCCAUGGGGUGUAGAUUGGCCUGAGCAAAUGUGGUGCCGGUGGAACGAAAGCCUUAGGAGGAGUUAGCCACAUUCCAAUGUGUGCGGAUCGGCAAAAAAUGCGGAAUAACCCUUUAACCGUACAUUUGACAGAUACGCGCGCAUUGACUUUUUCGUAGAUCUUAUUGAGUUACAUGUGUGUGUCAAUUUUUGUGUCAUUUGGACAAAGCGUAUAGGCGUGACACUCAACAAUGUGUAUUUUCACCUUAGGGGACAAGAAAAAAUGGACUUUUUUCUCCUGCCAUGGGGGGGCGCUCUUUUGGGGAGUAAAAAUUCCUUCACAAAUGUGUUGAUGGCUGGACAUUGCAUCAUCCUAGAAAACUUGGAGGCCAGUGAGGACAAAAAUAAAAAGUUAUAAGACUUUUAAAUAUGUGGAUUUUAGUGUUAUCUUUGGCGCCCCCUAGAACCUAAACCUUGGGGUGCAGCGUCAUGAUUUUGAUAACUUUUAAUGGCCACGGGGUGUAGAUUGGCCUGAGCAAAUGUGGUGCCGGUGGAACGAAAGCCUUCGGAGGAGUUAGCGAAAUUCCAAUGUGUGCGGAUCGGCAAAAAAUGCGAAAUAACCCUUUAACCGUACAUUUGACAGAUACGGCCGCACUGACUUUUUUGUAGAUCUUAUUGAGAUACAUAUGUGUGUCAAUUUUUGUGUCAAUAUGACAAAGCGUACAGGCGUGACAGGCAAUAGUGUGAAUUUCCACCUUAGGGGGCGCUAUGGAGCCAUUUUGCAUUUUCUUGUUUGGGCGACUUCAGAAUAUCGAAUUUUUCACCAGGCCCGGUCGUCCUGCCAAAUUUCAUGAGUUUUCGCCAGUGGGAAGUGGGCCAUUUUCCAGUUCAAAGGGGAGGAAAAAGAAGAAAGAAAAAAGAACUAGGGCCCCGGUGGGGCACUGUCGGGCCCGAGCCGCGUCGUGCCGCCCCCAGCGUGACCGCCUCCCCCUCCCGAUCGCGUCACACUCAAGGUCCAAAGAUGGUGUGCGCACUUGUCUGUGGUCAUUUCCCAUUAUAAUGAAUGGGAGGCGCAGUUUCUACCAAAACACUCGCUGCAGACAAACUUCAUGUCCUAUUUGAAAAAAGUCUGGACCAUGAGUGAGGGCACAAACACAGCUGGGAUAUAUCCAAAUGGCAGGUUGCUCCUCCUUACGGUGUUGCCUGUAGAGCGAUGCGAUUGAGCCAUUGAGCGAUGGGCAGGAAAAACUUGACUUUUUCUCGUGCCAUGGGGGGGGAGAAUGUGGAUUCUUUUAAGAAUGUGGAUUUUUUGGUCAUCUUUGGCGCCCCCUAGAACGUAAACCGUGGGGUGCAGCAUCAUGAUUUGAAUAACUUUUAAUGGCCAUGGGGUGUAGAUCGGCCUGAGCAAAUUUGGUUUCAGUGGGACGAAAGCCUUAGGAGGAGUUAGCCACAUUCCAAUGUGUGCGAAUCGGCAAAAAAUGCAAAAUAGCCCUCUAACCGUAUAUUUGACAGAUACGCACCCAUUGACUUUUUCGUAGAUCUUAUUGAGAUACACGUGAUUGUCAAAUUUUGUGUCAAUAUGACAAAGCGUACAGGUGUCACACUCAACAAUGUGAAUUUUCACCUUUCGGGACAAGAAAAAAUUGACUUUUUUCUCCUGCCAUGGGGGGGGGGGCGCUCUUUUGGGGAGUAAAAAUUCCUUCACAAAUGCGUUGAUGGCUGGACAUUGCAUCAUCCUAGAAAACUUGGAGGCCAGUGAGGGCAAAAAUAAAAAGUUAUAAGACUUUGAAAUAUGUGGAUUUUAGGGUUAUCUUUGGCGCCCCCUAGAACCUAAACCGUGGGGUGCAGCGUCAUGAUUUGAAUAACUUUUAAUGGCCAUGGGGUGUAGAUUGGCCUGAGCAAAUGUGGUGCCGGUGGAACGAAAGCCUUAGGAGGAGUUAGCGAAAUUCCAAUGUGUGCGGAUCAGAAAAAAUGCGGAAUAACCCUUUAACCGUACAUUUGACAGAUACGCGCGCAUUGACUUUUUCGUAGAUCUUAUUGAGAUACAUGUGUGUGUCAAAUUUUGUGUCAAUAUGACAAAGCGUACAGGCGUGACACUCAACAAUGUGUAUUUUCAAAUUAGGGGACAAGAAAAAAUGGACUUUUUUCUCCUGCCAUGGGGGGGCGCUCUUUUGGGGAGUAAAAAUUCCUUCACAAAUGUGUUGAUGGCUGGACAUUGCAUCAUCCUAGAGAACUUGGAGGCCAGUGAGGACAAAAAUAAAAAGUUAUAAGACUUUUAAAUAUGUGGAUUUUAGGGUUAUAUUUGGCGCCCCCUAGAACCUAAACCGUGGGGUGCAGCAUCAUGAUUUGAAUAACUUUUAAUGGCCAUGGGGUGUAGAUUGGCCUGAGCAAAUGUGGUGCCGGUGGAACGAAAGCCUUCGGAGGAGUUAGCGAAAUUCCAAUGUGUGCGGAUCGGCAAAAAAUGCGAAAUGACCCUUUAACCGUACAUUUGACAGAUACGCGCGUAUGACUUUUUCGUAGAUCUUAUUGAGAUACACAUGUGUGUCAAUUUUUGUGUCAAUAUGACAAAGCGUACAGGCGUGACAGUCAAUAGUGUGAAUUUUCACCUUAGGGGACAAGAAAAAAUGGACUUUUUUCUCCUGCCAUGGGGGGGCGCUCUUUUGGGGAGUCAAAAUUCCUUCACAAAUGUGUUGAUGGCUGGACAUUGCAUCAUCCUAGUAAACUUGGAGGCCAGUGAGGAAAAAAAUAAAAAGUUAUAAGACUUUUAAAUAUGUGGAUUUUAGGGUUAUCUUUGGCGCCCCCUAGAACCUAAACCGUGGGGUGCAGCGUCAUGAUUUGAAUAACUUUUAAUGGCCAUGGGGUGUAGAUUGACCUGAGCAAAUGUUGUGCCGAUGGAAGGAAAGUCUUCAGAGGAGUUAGCGAAAUUCCGAUGUGUGUGGAUCGGCAAAAAAUGCGAAAUAACCCGUUAACCGUAAAUUUGACAGAUACGCCCGCACUGACUUUUUUGUAGAUCUUAUUGAGAUACAUAUGUGUGUCAAUUUUUGUGUCAAUAUGACAAAGCGUACAGCCGAGACAGUCAAUAGUUUGAAUUUUCAUCUUAGGGGGCGCUAUGGAGCCAUUUUGCAUUUUAUUGUUUGGGCGACUUCAGAAUAUCAAAUUUUUCACCAGGCCCGGUCGUCCUGCCAAAUUUCAUGAGUUUUCGCCAGUGGGAAGUGGGCCAUUUUCCAGUUCAAAGGGGAGGAAAAAGAAGAAACUAGGACCCCGUUGGGGCACUGGCGGGCCCGAGCCGUGUCGCGUCCCCCCCCCCCCCCCACCCCCCCACCCCCCAACAUGCUGCCUCCCCGUCCCAUUUGUGUCCUCUGGCCAUCGCCCUCUCUGGUAACGCCCAUCACUGCAAAGACCCUUUUCCUUCAUCGGCGUUUGCUGUUCUUCCUGCCAGUGCGUGUUGCUUUCACUUACACUUGCCACAGCCAGCCUCGUGAGUGCCUAGCCUAUUGGAUAUCACUGUCACCUACACAGGACAGUCAUUACCUUUCUAUUAAUACUUUGUGUUUUAAUUUCACAUUAAUUUCCAUAUUGUAUAAACGACUGGAAAAAACUUGAGCCCCUGCCCCUGUAUAAUCAUGUGCAUGUCUCUGUUCUAGCUCCAAGGUGAAUCUUCACUGCUCAUGUUCUCCUCAGAAGCACUCACCUCACUCCCCUCAGGUUACUGUACACAUGCACCAACUGCCUGCUUCAGGUUUGGAUGGAGCUUCAUGGUUGUCUUUUGGAGAAAUGACCAGUCAAGUUGUGUUUGAAAUUUGAUUUUUUUCAGGGGCAAAAGGAGCCUCUGCAUUCUUGUCAAAUAUGUAAAUAGCAUGUUUUUGCAGGUGCUAAAAACCAGACUCUGAGUGUGUGUGUGUGUGUGUGUGUGUGUGUGUGUGUGUGUGCGUGUGUGUGUGUCUGUGUGUGCGUUCAAGUCACAUGACAUAUUUAAUCGGAUGUAGCUGCAAGACGGAGCCUCGUUGACUCUCCGUUUCAACUUAUCUCAAAAGUGAGGACCUCAACCUAUAUACCAGUUUUUAAAUUGUGUUGAUAGGCCAAAUAAAACCAGAGUUAUGAUAAAUUAUGUCCGCGAUACUUUUUUUCUGCUUAUUUUGAUCACGUUCGGCGCUCGAUCGCGCUGUAUGAGACAGGAAAACAUAGCAUGCAGACAUUAGCGACAGGUCUUACAGGCGGAAAAGGCUUGCCAAAAGAAAAAAAAAACACACCACAACAUCUCUCCUAUUGGUGGAAAACUUCACCACAACAACCAAUCCAAAAUUAUAUGGUGACUGAUUGACAAGGGGCGGGCGCUUACGUUCUUCCUGCAACAUGAGAAGGGAGGGAGGGACUCUCAGCAGGGAUGCAGUCUGGGACACGUAGUUGCAAACCUAGCGACUUUGUUGUUAGAUUCAAUGACUUUUCAGACCCCCUAACGACUUUUUUUUAGAAAGAAAGGGACUUUUAUCGACUUCUUCUGGAGUUUAGAGACUCUGACAUGAAGCAGGCUUUCCUUACUGAGGAGUUAGCAACGCUGCUAAGGGUGCAGAGCCACACAUGCGCUCAGAGCUCUGCAUGGGAGACUGAAGCUGACAGAGCUGCAGCCGUUAGCAGGUUUCACCCUCAGAGACCACCAGGGGUUCAUGUUGAGGCAUUUUAAAUUUUUUUUUUUUUGUGCCAUAGACACUGUCAGCACAAUCUGCAGUUACACUAACAAAAAUGCUGCAAAAAACAAAGAAUUAUGGAAAAAUUACACAUGGACUGACAUAGAGGAGGAUCUACACAAGUUUUUUACAUCAUGUUUUACAUCAUGCAUCAUUUACAUCAUGUUUUUUUGUAGUGGCAUAAAUAAAAAGUGACAUUUGUGAGACUAUACAGUGUUUUGUAAAUAAUUUUACAAAGAACGCCUGGGCCAUUGCCUGCAUUUUGAUGAAAAUAGAGGUAAAUCACUAUGUUCUUUGUUAAAAAUUUGCAUAUGUUUUGAAGUUUACAAUUUUUAUUUGAAGUUUAAGUUUUAAAAACAGUUCAUCACACAUAUUUGUGGUUUUCACAGUAAAAAUGUUACUUUUUUCCACUCGGAUUUUAUGUUUUGUGUGUGAAUUUGGGUCCAUUGUGUAAAUUCAGUAUGUCAACAUGAUAAAAUAACUGUAAAUUCGCACAGGUGAGGUUGUGCUGAAAAAAUGAUACCAGGCAAGGCACGUGAUUGUCAAAUUUUGUGUCAAUAUGACAAAGCGUAUAGGCGUGAAUCUCAACAAUAUGUAUUUUCACCUUAGGGGACAAGAAAAAAUGGACUUUUUUCUCCUGCCAUGGGGGGGCGCUCUUUUGGGGAGUAAAAAUUCCUUCACAAAUGUGUUGAUGGCUGGACAUUGCAUCAUCCUAGAAAACUAAAAAACUUGGAGGCCAGUGAGGACAAAAAUAAAAAGUUAUAAGACUUUUAAAUAUGUGGAUUUUAGGGUUAUCUUUGGCGCCCCCUAGAACCUAAACCGUGGGGUGCAGCGUCAUGAUUUGAAUAACUUUUAAUGGCCAUGGGGUGUAGAUUGUCCUGAGCAAAUGUGGUGCCGGUGGAACGAAAGCCUUAGGAGGAGUUAGCCACAUUCCAAUGUGUGCGGAUCGGCAAAAAAUGCGGAAUAACCCUUUAACCGUACAUUUGACAGAUACGCGCGCAUUGACUUUUUCGUAGAUCUUAUUGAGUUACAUGUGUGUGUCAAUUUUUGUGUCAUUUUGACAAAGCGUAUAGGCGUGACACUCAACAAUGUGUAUUUUCACCUUAGGGGACAAGAAAAAAUUGACUUUUUUCUCCUGCCAUGGGGGGGCGCUCUUUUGGGGAGUAAAAAUUCCUUCACAAAUGUGUUGAUGGCUGGACAUUGCAUCAUCCUAGAAAACUUGGAGGCCAGUGAGGACAAAAAUAAAAAGUUAUAAGACUUUUAAAUAUGUGGAUUUUAGUGUUAUCUUUGGCGCCCCCUAGAACCUAAACCUUGGGGUGCAGCGUCAUGAUUUUGAUAACUUUUAAUGGCCACGGGGUGUAGAUUGGCCUGAGCAAAUGUGGUGCCGGUGGAACGAAAGCCUUCGGAGGAGUUAGCGAAAUUCCAAUGUGUGCGGAUCGGCAAAAAAUGCGAAAUAACCCUUUGACCGUACAUUUGACAGAUACGGCCGCAUUGACUUUUUCGUAGAUCUUAUUGAGAUACAUAUGUGUGUCAAUUUUUGUGUCAUUUUGACAAAGCGUAUAGGCGUGACACUCAACAAUGUGUAUUUUCACCUUAGGGGACAAGAAAAAAUGGACUUUUUUCUCCUGCCAUGGGGGGGCGCUCUUUUGGGGAGUAAAAAUUCCUUCACAAAUGUGUUGAUGGCUGGACAUUGCAUCAUCCUAGAAAACUUGGAGGCCAGUGAGGACAAAAAUAAAAAGUUAUAAGACUUUUAAAUAUGUGGAUUUUAGUGUUAUCUUUGGCGCCCCCUAGAACCUAAACCUUGGGGUGCAGCGUCAUGAUUUUGAUAACUUUUAAUGGCCACGGGGUGUAGAUUGGCCUGAGCAAAUGUGGUGCCGGUGGAACGAAAGCCUUCGGAGGAGUUAGCGAAAUUCCAAUGUGUGCGGAUCGGCAAAAAAUGCGAAAUAACCCUUUGACCGUACAUUUGACAGAUACGGCCGCACUGACUUUUUUGUAGAUCUUAUUGAGAUACAUAUGUGUGUCAAUUUUUGUGUCAAUAUGACAAAGCGUACAGGCGUGACAGUCAAUAGUGUGAAUUUCCACCUUAGGGGGCGCUAUGGAGCCAUUUUGCAUUUUAUUGUUUGGGCGACUUCAGAAUAUCGAAUUUUUCACCAGGCCCGGUCGUCCUGCCAAAUUUCAUGAGUUUUCGCCAGUGGGAAGUGGGCCAUUUUCCAGUUCAAAGGGGAGGAAAAAGAAGAAAGAAAGAAAGAAAGAAAGAAAGAAACAAAGAAAAACCACUUGGGGAAUAAUAGGGCCUACGCCCGGCUGCUCUGCAGCUGGCUCGGGCCCUAAAGAAAGAAAGAAAGAAAGAAACAACUAGGGCCCCGGUGGGGCACUGUCGGGCCCGAGCCGCGUCGCGCCGCCCCCAGCGUGACCGCCUCCCCCUCCCGAUCGCGUCACACUCAAGGUCCAAAGAUGGUGUGCGCACUUGUCUGUAAUCAUUUCCCAUUAUAAUGAAUGGGAGGCGCAGUUUCUACCAAAACACUCGCUGCAGACAAACUUCAUGUCCUAUUUGAAAAAAGUCUGGACCAUGAGUGAGGGCACAAACACAGCUAUGAUAUAUCGAAAUGGCAGGUUGCUCCUCCUUACGGUGUUGCCUGGAGAGCGAUGCGAUUGAGCCAUUGAGCGAUGGGCAGGGUUAACUUGACUUUUUCUCCUGCCUUGGGGGGGGGGGGGGGGGGGAUUCUUUUAAGAAUGUGGAUUUUUGGGUCAUCUUUGGCGCCCCCUAGAACGUAAACCGUGGGGUGCAGCGUCAUGAUUUUUACAACUUUGAAUGGCCAUGGGGUGUAGAUUGGCCUGAGCAAAUUUUGUGUCAGUGGGACGAAAGCCUUAGGAGGAGUUAGCCACAUUCCAAUGUGUGCGAAUCGGCAAAAAAUGCAAAAUAGCCCUUUAACCGUACAUUUGACAGAUACGCGCGCAUUGACUUUUUUGUAGAUAUUAUUGAGAUACAUAUGUGUGUCAAUUUUUGUGUCAAUAUGAUAAAGCGUACAGGCGUGACAGUCAAUAGUGUGAAUUUCCACCUUAGGGGACAAGAAAAAAUGGACUUUUUUCUCCUGCCAUGGGGGGGCGCUCUUUUGGGGAGUAAAAAUUCCUUCACAAAUGUGUUGAUGGCUGGACAUUGCAUCAUCCUAGAAAACUUGGAGGCCAGUGAGGACAAAAAUAAAAAGUUAUAAGACUUUUAAAAAUGUGGAUUUUUGGGUUAUCUUUGGCGCCCCCUAGAACGUAAACCGUGGGGUGCAGCGUCAUGAUUUGAAUAACUUUUAAUGGCCAUGGGGUGUAGAUUGGCCUGAGCAAAUGUGGUGCCGGUGGAACGAAAGCCUUCGGAGGAGUUAGCGAAAUUCCAAUGUGUGCGGAUCGGCAAAAAAUGCGAAAUAACCCUUUAACCGUACAUUAGACAGAUACGCGCGCAUGGACUUUUUUGUAGAUCUUAUUGAGAUACAUGUGUGUGUCAAUUUUUGUGUCAUUUUGACAAAGCGUACAGGCGUGACAGUCAAUAGUGUGAAUUUUCACCUUAGGGGACAAGAAAAAAUGGACUUUUUUCUCCUGCCAUGGGGGGGCGCUCUUUUGGGGAGUAAAAAUUCCUUCACAAAUGUGUUGAUGGCUGGACAUUGCAUCAUCCUAGAAAACUUGGAGGCCAGUGAGGGCAAAAAUAAAAAGUUAUAAGACUUUUAAAUAUGUGGAUUUUAGGGUUAUCUUUGGCGCCCCCUAGAACCUAAACCGUGGGGUGCAGCGUCAUGAUUUGAAUAACUUUUAAUGGCCAUGGGGUGUAGAUUGGCCUGAGCAAAUGUGGUGCCGGUGGAACGAAAGCCUUCGGAGGAGUUAGCGAAAUUCCAAUGUGUGCGGAUCGGCAAAAAAUGCGAAAUAGCCCUUUAACCGUACAUUUGACAGAUACGCCCGCACUGACUUUUUUGUAGAUCUUAUUGAGAUACAUGUGUGUGUCAAUUUUUGUGUCAUUUUGACAAAGCGUACAGGCGUGACAGUCAAUAGUGUGAAUUUUCACCUUAGGGGGCGCUAUGGAGCCAUUUUGCAUUUUCUUGUUUGGGCGACUUCGGAAUAUCAAAUUUUUCACCAGGCCCGGUCGUCCUGCCAAAUUUCAUGAGUUUUCGCCAGUGGGAAGUGGGCCAUUUUCCAGUUCAAAGGGGAGGAAAAAUAAUAACUAGGGCCCCGGUGGGGCACUGUCGGGCCCGAGCCGCGUUGCGCCGCCCCCAGCGCGACCGCCUCCCCCUCCCGAUCGCGUCACACUCAAGGUCCAAAGAUGGUGUGCGCACUUGUCUGUGGUCAUUUCCCAUUAUAAUGAAUGGGAGGUGCAGUUUCUACCAAAACACUCGCUGCAGACAAACUACAUGUCCUAUUUGAAAAAAGUCUGGACCAUGAGUGAGGGCACAAACACAGCUAGGAUAUAUCCAAAUGGCAAGUUGCUCCUCGUUACGGUGUUGCCGGGAGAGUGAUGCGAUUGAGCCAUUGAGUUAUGGGCAGGAAAAACUUGACUGUUUCUCCUGCCAUGGGGGUUGGGGGUUGGGGGAUGGGGGGGGGGGGGGUGGAUUCUUUUAAGAAUGUGGAUAUUUGGGUCAUCUUUGGCGCCCCCUAGAACGUAAACCGUGGGGUGCAGCGUCAUGAUUUUUACAACUUUGAAUGGCCAUGGGGUGUAGAUUGGCCUGAGCAAAUUUGGUGUCAGUGGGACGAAAGCCUUAGGAGGAGUUAGCCACAUUCCAAUGUGUGCGAAUCGGCAAAAAAUGCAAAAUAGCCCUUUAACCGUACAUUUUACAGAUACGCACGCAUUGACUUUUUCGUAGAUCUUAUUGAGAUACAUGUGAUUGUCAGAUUUUGUGUCAAUAUGACAAAGCGUACAGGUAUGACAGUCAACAAUGUGUUUUUUCACCUUAUGGGACAAGAAAAAAUGGACUUUUUUCUCCUGCCAUGGGGGGGCGCUCUUUUGGGGAGUAAAAAUUCCUUCACAAAUGUGUUGAUGGCUGGACAUUGCAUCAUCCUAGAAAACUUGGAGGCCAGUGAGGACUUAAAUAAAAAGUUAUAAGACCUUGAAAUAUCUGGAUUUUAGGGUUAUCUUUGGCGCCCCCUAGAACCUAAACCGUGGGGUGCAGCGUCAUGAUUUGAAUAACUUUUAAUGGCCAUGGGGUGUAGAUUGGCCUGAGCAAAUGUGGUGCCGGUGGAACGAAAGCCUUAGGAGGAGUUAGCCACAUUCCAAUGUGUGCGGAUCGGCAAAAAAUGCGGAAUAACCCUUUAACCGUACAUUUGACAGAUACGCGCGCAUUGACUUUUUCGUAGAUCUUAUUGAGUUAGAUGUGUGUGUCAAUUUUUGUGUCAUUUUGACAAAGCGUAUAGGCGUGACACUCAACAAUGUGUAUUUUCACCUUAGGGGACAAGAAAAAUGGACUUUUUUCUCCUGCCAUGGGGGGGCGCUCUUUUGGGGAGUAAAAAUUCCUUCACAAAUGUGUUGAUGGCUGGACAUUGCAUCAUCCUAGAAAACUUGGAGGCCAGUGAGGACAAAAAUAAAAAGUUAUAAGACUUUUAAAUAUGUGGAUUUUAGUGUUAUC